rnacentral:lncRNA from 1 species
UUUUUUUUUUUUUUAAAUUGUAUAAUUUUAUUAUUAUAUUUUGAUAUGUGGAAUAUGAGUGUUAAAUAAUUUUAUUUUUGAAUGUUAUCUUUUAAUAUGUGUAUUAAUUAAUUUAAUCUACCCAGCUCUGAAUUCUCCAUCACAAACAAAUGACAAAUAUUGCUAAUAUUUUUCGCAACAUAUUAUGUAUUUGGCGAAAUAUUUAUUUUUAAAAAUGACUAUAAAAAAACUACAUUUUUAUCGGUUCUUGAACAUAAGAUAAGAUACACAAAAAAAAAAUUAACAAAUUUGUAGAAAUUAGACGUGAAGAGAAUUAACCCAUGCAUUAAUCACGUAACCAGAAGUAGGAAAAUAAUUACAGGGGGGGCCCAGCUUAUUAUAAUAUGUGUUUAUUUAUUUAUAUUUACCCCACAAAAAGGUUAAGAUUGGAUGUAAUAAUAAAAGUUUUGGAGAUUCUUUUUUUUUUUUUUUUGGGGGGGGACAUGGAGGGACGUUUAAACUGUUGGGGGAGGAACGAGUUGUGAGUGGUUUGGUGAUCCAGUAACAACUUGGAAAUUUCCCAAGAUGGGUUGUCCUUUUCGUUACUAGUUUAGAAUCACCUAUUAUAAUAAUAAUAAUAAUAAUAAUAAUAAGAAAAAUUUUCAAAAAACUUUUCUGUAGUUUCGUAGUUUUUUACUUUACUCCUAUGUGGUUUAAAAUAUAUCAAAUUGCCCUCCUAUAAUUUUUUUUUUCUCUUUUCUUAUCAAUUUUAUUUUAUUUUUUUUUUAAAUCAGUGAUAAAGUUAAUUUAAAGGGUACUAAAGUGAAUAUUUGAUGAAUCUAGAUGGAUAUCUCAAGUUUUUUGUAUAUUAUUUAAUGAAAUAUUAACAAAAAAGCUACCGAGAAGAUAAAAACGAAACCACAAGGGGACAAUUUGAUACAUUUUAAACCACAAGAGAGUAAAGUGAGAAACUACGAAACCACGAAGGGAUUUUUAAAGUUUUCCAUAAUAAUAAUAAUAAUAAUAAUAAUAAUAAUAAUAAUUAAGGAGCUGGGGUGAUUUUCGAACCAAAAUUUGCUGGGCAUCGUCCCCAAGCUAUUUAGUUUGGGGAUAAUGUAGAUGGACGCCACGCGGCCCAUCCGACGGCGGCCCAUGGAAGGAAUAAAAAAAAAAUAGAACGAUACUCUAUGUUUUUAGAGAGAGAGAGAGAGAGAGAGAGUAGCUAAAGAGAGAGGAGGGUGACUGUUGGGUUGGAUGGGCCAUGUGAUGCCUAUUCGUAUCGUUCCCAAACUAAUUGUUUAGGUACGGUGCCCAGCAAAUUUUUGUUCGUAUCUUUGGGGACCCUCGCUUGGAUUCUUUGGGAAAGGGGUGUUUGGGUUUUCCAAAAUAUCAUGAAUAACAACUCUAUAUUUUAAGAUGGAAAUUAUAAAAAAUAAAUUUGUUGUAGUUUUUUUAUUUUAAAAAAACAGUUUGUAAAAUAUAGAUGAGACUUUUCUAUAAGAUGUAGAAAAAAAUAUUCUUAAAAGAACUACCACUUGGAAAAUUAGAUAGACAGCCAAAAGAUUAUUUUAUUUUCUUAUUUUUUUUCGGAGCACCAAACAAUCCCUAAAAAUUUCUGAUUUUUUCUUUUUUGUUAUUUUCAGUUUCGAAGUUGGCUCUCUAAACAUUACUUUCUUAGGUUUCGUUUGGGAUUGCGGGAAAAUUACGAUACGUGCGGUAAGAAACGACGAUAGAAAAUUACCUUAUUUAUUUCCGUACAUAAUAUUGUUCAGUAUAUUGCGGUUAGUUGGUUACGAUAUAUUUUCUGCGUUCCCAUCGGAGAACGCAGAAGUAUAUUCUAAGCCUCAAUACCAAACUAAGACUUCGUUUGGGAUUGCGGAGAGAUUACAUUACGUACGGUGCGAAAGUACGUUGGAAAAAUAUUCUGUUUGUUUUCGUAAGUAAUAUUGCGUUCCACAUAUCGCGAUGAGUUGGUUACCAUAUAUUUUCUGCGGUCCCACCGAAAAAUGCAGAAGCAUAUCCCUAUAUGCUUUUUUCUCAACUCCAUUUUAUCUAUCAGCGUUAGAUAGGUCUCAAUACCAAACUAAACCUAAGCCUUAGGCUUAGCCUUAGGCUGCGUUUGGGAUUGCGGGGAGAUUGCGCUACGUGCAGUGAGAAACGACGAUGAAAAAAUACCUGGUUUGUUUCCGUAUUAGUCGGUUACGCUAUAUUUUCUGCGGUGCUAUCGGAGAACGCAGAAGCAUAUCUUUUCUCAACUCCAUUCUAUCUAAUAGCGUUAGAUAGACCUCAAUACCAAACUAAGCCUUAGUAUUAAGAUUUAUCUAACGCUAUUAGAUAGAAUAGAAUUGAGAAAAAGUAUAUAAGAAUAUGCUUCUGCGGUCCCAUCGGAAAACACAGAAAAUAUAUCAUAACCGCAAUAUACGAAACACAAUAUUACGUACGAAAAUAGAAACAAACAGGAUAUUUUUCCAUCGUUGUUUCUCACUGCACAUAACACAAUCUUCCCGCAAUCCGAAAAGAAGCCUUAAUCCACCCUUCCCACUGUUUUCUUAUUUUAAUUUAGUUACUUUUGAAUCCAAUGAAGCAACAAAUAAUAAAUAGUUUCUAUGCUGCCGAUCAGUUUUUUACAUGAGGCCCACGAAUAAAUAUAAUUAUAUUUUUCCACAGAAAAGCUAAAAACGAUUGCUGUGUACAUCACGAUUCACGUGUAACAAAAAACCACCUUAAGAAUUUUGGAUACACGUUUCCACAUGCAGGUGGAAGAAGAACAAUUGAAGGACAAAUAUUUAAUUUAAAAAAAAAGGAAAAAAUGAACAAUAAAUGAUAGGUUCAGUUCCGAUUAAAAACUUUUUUUUUUUUACAUAUGCAAAAAAAUGUCACCACAAAAGGAUCUGUGUAGACGAAGUUAAAAAAAAAUAAAAGAAAAGAAAGGAAAACCAUAUCACUUUCACCUAUUUAUUUGUCCUAAAACCACUACAUAAUAGUUAAGAUAACCAACUCGGAAGAUGCAUUGAAAACUAUAGCAUACAAGCAAUGCCUUUCCAAAUAACAGAUGAGUUUUCCGGCGCAGAAAAUAAAGUAUUAGACAAUAAAUCAUUACAAAUUUUCCAGCACAGAGCCUGAGCUCGGUGUGUGCGAAAACUAUAUCACCAAAAGUUUCUUAACACGAAAAUAUACAAGUAGACGGCCUCUGCGGCUUUUCGACUCAUAUGAACAUCUUAUAACAACACACAAAGAAUGGCCCAAAAUUCAUAGCGAAAUAUACAGGAAAGAAGGAACUAGCAAUCACAAUAACAGGACAACAUACAACUAGAUGCGCAAAACUAAUCAAAAGGGGGCAUAUUUCUGAGUCCGGUUUAUGAACUUACCUUCUUCUUCGGGAUACUACGGGAGAACUUAUACCGGUCUGCUGCUUCCUGAAGCUCGGGGAGGAAACCGUUCCUUGGAACGAAGAGUAAACCGCUGGUUUUGGGGCAGGGGGUGGCGGUGCUGGCGCUACAGCUGUUGGCUGAAGUGACGACUCCAUGAAGCAUGCUAUGUUCAGACGCGUCCUCUCUAACUCCCCUUCGAGUAGAUCAUUGCUGUAUUGCUGGGCAAGUGCCUGGAAAGAGAAAAUGAGCAUGAGUAUUUAAAUAAUUAGGGAAAAUGUAUGGAUAGGCCUUGCACUUUUGCAACAUUGCAGCUUUAGUUCGUGAACUGGUCACUUAAACAUUGUAGCACUUGAACUCGCACUAUUCACACUUCUCACCUCUGACUCCCUCAAGUAAUCAACAGUCGACGAGUCAUGAGCUCUACACACUACACAUCCCAUAUAAUGAAAAUUUUGCCUCUUUUCAUGAGAACUUGGUACAGACGUAAAAUGGUCAUCUUACAGGAUGGGUCAAGGGGUUAAAUGUAAAACACAUGACUUAACAGAUGUUGGAUGACGUAGAGAGGAAUGGAUGCAACUGCAAUAUGUAGGAUAGUUCAGGUAUUGAAUUGAUUAAGUUGAAAGUUCGGGAAUUAGGUUGCAACAGCGCCUAAGUAGUACUUAUUGCACAUUUUACCCAUCUAGAAACAGCAUAGUUCUCCUUACACCGAAGCCAACUAUAGAGCAUUUUGAAAUGGCUAUCAGAACUUUGAACUUCUUGACUGUGCUACCAAACAUUUCAUUAAUUUUGAUUUCAGAAAAAUGUGUCAAGUCCUGUCAGAACUUAAAAUUGUUCUGUCAGAAACCUACAUAAUAUUCUGUUAGUCACAAUCUGUUAAAAUGUUACAGACCUUUUAAGCUCUGACAGAGAGGCAGUUAAAUCAAAUACACCAAAAGGUUGGCAGUAUAAUUAGAACUUUUUAAGUUGAGAGACCCAUUUCAAAAUUCGUUGGAGUUCGGGUAAGGUGCAUACAUUUCUAGCAAAUAUUAAGUUGCAAGUUAAUCCAUUGCAUGAAAUAAGAUCUUACAAGCAAAUCAUCAGGGGAUACGGUCGGCUUAUCAUCUAUUAUGGCAUCUUCGCUGCCACGAGUCGGACGGCGGUGGUGUCCCGGGUUCUCAGAAGACUCAGAAGCACUCUCACAAGCUUUCUCUAACAGAAGUCCUUGCAAGGACUUUAAAGCUCCGUGCGCGUCAGGUGAGAAGUAUGUGUGCAGUACAGUUUCAAAAUAUUCAAGCUGCAGAUUGGAAAGCAACAAAUUCAGAAAUAUAACCGAGUCUGUUGAAUUUCUUGAUAUAUGGCAAGAAUAUGGCGUAAUUUCAAGAAAAUGAACAAUGAAUAAGUGAAAGAAAAGUAUGGCUACAAUAGAGCUAGCCGCCUUCAGUAAUCCAAACCCAUAGAAAGUCCCCAGAUUUGUUAGAAAAUCUGCAUUUUAUCCUACAGGGAUGAAGUGCUAAUAAUUCAUAAAUCUAGGGGUUGUUCAUAGAUUUUGAUCACCACAAAACUCAUACAGAUAAGAGAGCAAUAUGCAUUAUAACAAAAAUCUACACAACAUUGAGAUUACCUCAAGCAUGAGCUGACAGAAGCCAUUGGCAUCAAGCGACUUGAGAUCUUUAUUCUUGUUUUCGUGGAAAAGGCUGAGGAAAGUAUCAAUUAAGCCCUCAACUAAAAUUCCUAGUGUCUUCUCCAGCAAAGGCUUGGCACCAGAAUAGACCUGGAUUAUGAAGAGAAAAAAUUUUGACAUGCUUUCUAGAUUGAGGAUUUAUUUAACAAAACAAAACACUUGGCCAGCAUUAACUUGGUCAAAAAUCCCACAUCAGCAUUGUUUCUUUGCAUAUUCCAACUACGCACAAAAAAUAGGUAUUACACAUCACCCCUGAAUACCUUGGUUAUUUGUGUGCAUGACGGAGUAUCUAUGCAAAAGAAUUUUCAGAUAUAUACCCAUCGCAGGGCAUGAAUUUAGACAAAUACCAACUUUGCAGUUUCACAUACUUUGUAGGGUUAUAUGAGCAAAAAACUAACUGCACUCUUUUGUUACUAAAGAUCCAUACACGCCUGUUGUAGGGUUAUAUGAGCAAAAAACUCACGCGCCCUUUUAUUACUAAAGAUCCAUACAUGUCCAUGGGUUUUGUUUAUCUUUUUCAACAUGAAUUACUUAGCAAUAUUAAGAAUCACAAAAGUGAGAACAAAGUUUAAUGACAAAGAUUUGCAACCACAAGGAUAAAGAUGUAAGCAAACACCUCUGCGUGCGCGGCUACAAGAAUGUGCAAUAAGUCAAUAGUUGCAUCUCGAAUACCCUGCAACAGGAAGCAUGAUUAGCAUUAUUUGAAUAAGCAUAUGUCAAUAUAACCAAUACGAUAUUCUCUAACUCCAAUUUUUACCUUCACUGCAGGUGCACUUCCCCACUGAAUUCCAGAAUCCAACAGAUAGUUCAAAGCAGCAUUUCUAAUCAAGUUUGACUAAAAGACAAAAUAAUGUCAGCUACUAAGACGAAAAAAAGGAAAAAAAAAAUCAAUAUCGUAGGAGUCAAGUGAUAAUGUCUAGACAAUAGUUUAAGUUAGAACUGUCAUUUUUCUUUCAAGUUUCUCCAAGCCCUUUUCAUGCAUUUUCUAGUUGAUUACAGAAACAUUUUACAAUCAUAUAAAAGCUAAGAGUGGAAAACUUUUCUAGGGGUGUGGAAGUAGAGAACUGAGUGCAACUCAGAAUUUCUGUAUUGAAAAGAAAAACCACUAUUUUUAGCUUUUCAACAUCAUAUACUGAAUCUAUAAUGCACCAUACCUUUGCAAAUGUGUAGUGUUCAAGAAUUUUUUCUUCUAAUGCUGAAAAAGAUGAGACUAAGUCUCGCAUAUCAGCAUUCUGUUCAUCUUUAUCCCUGUAAAAAGGAAAACUAUACCAUCAAGAGAAUAGACAUUGAACCGGUAUUAAUCUUGUGAAAUGCUUUCACAAAGCUAAAACGCGAAUAAGAAAGAAUAACCUUUGCACCGCACACAGUUAAUUGCUAUAUAUCUUUGAUGAAACUGCAAAUUUUAAAUAAGUUUCGAGUGCAAAAAUUUACUGCCUUCUUUUCAUAUUUGUGACUCAGAAAUGAAGACUUGGAUGAACAGAGACAUUUUUUCCAUUUAGGUAAGUUAUGAAGGGGAGGAAAGAUAAAAAGAAUGAACUAACAAUAAAGACAUCAUCAGAGCAGGACAACUUAGAUACAGCAAUGACCAACCUAUACUGCAGCCAUAUGUGCUUGUACUCGUUAUACAAGCCAUGAGAAAGUUCAUCUUUGCAAAAACCAAUGUUACUCAAAACAAUUAAUAGCUUUUUAUGGGCAGCAGCAGCACCACCACCACCAACUUGGAAAGCAGAAGAUUCCCUAUCCAGAUGUAGAUACCCAUUUUGCAAGUGAUUAUUUUCCUUAAUUGAUCUACUUUGAGAUAGUUCACCUCCAAAACGUUCGAGAUAACCUACGAGGAAAAGAAUUGCUUAGAAAAGAGGUAAUGCAAUAACUGUGAAAGACCUAGUUACUACUGUGUCAGUAAGUAAUUACCUGCAAAAUCAAGGAAAGAGUUGAGAAAUGCAAGUCUAACUGAUUCUUGAAUUUCAUGUAGUUGUUCCGGAGCAUCAUAUGACUUUGAUGCUUCACUCCUCAAAUUCUGAAUCAAACUAGAUAAAGAAAUAAUUUGCACAUCAAGAUCUUUUAAGUCAGAGUAUUUGCCAUAGAGUGAAAGAAUUAAUUGGUAGCCUGCUAGUUUACUAAGAGAUAAUACUAUUUUGGAUUUUUAUCUAACUUUUGAACAGAGCCAAAUAUAUUGCUUGUAAAUAGCAGAAUUACAAGACAAGAUUACCCGUUGAAAGAUAGACAUCUGUACUACACGCAUCACAAAUACUCAAAUUUUUAACUAGAUCAUAAAAUGAAUAUAAGCAUGACACAUAAGAACAUUGUAAUUUAAAGAUCCAAUGUAUUGUUCCCGGAAAUAAGGAAAGCUCAGAAAAGAUUAUGAAUCAACAUUUAUGCACGGGUAAGACUUUCACCAUGUGAAGCAACAAGGACACUAUGACUUCAUGGACGUAAAGAGAACAAGAGACUGUAAAAUAACACAGGCAUACACAGUAAAAGAGAAGAAAAUAAUGUACAGAAGAGAAAAAUGGAUAAAAUACAGUUAAAAUGCAUAAAAAGAAGAGCCAACUUACAGAUCAAUCCGGUCCAUAGCAGAAAUUGUCAUGUCCCGAAAUGCCAAGGGCAAGUAAGAAAUUGCAUAUGGAGACUUGUUUCUCUCUAUCGUUGACAAAGUAAUCCACAUCUCAUCUUUGGAUAUCUCCUUAGUAGUGGCUCUCAUCCAUGAGCAAAGUCGUAAUAUGUAAAUCUUUGUUAUUUCAAAUUGGAGCGCCCGCAACGUUUUCACUGGGAAAAAAAAAUCAUAAAAUAACACGAUUGUAAGAAAAGAUGUUUAUGUAUCAGUAAAUAUAUGCUUUUGUGAAUUGGCCAAAGUACCAGCAAUUGAAGGAGAGGAAUCUUUCCCUUCAAGGGCAUGACAUGCUUUGACUAUUUCUUUUAUAGCAUCGCCCAUGUAUGAAUGAAGAAUGUUUAAUUCUUCAAAAUCACGAAAUGUAAUCUGGACCUGCCAUUAGACAGAAAGAAAUUAUCUGCUUAGGAAUAAGAAAAACUAAAAUCAACAAUGGAGUAGAAAAGGAUAACUUGUAGUUUUCAAAGUAAUGCAUAUUGAGAACAUCAAGUUAUACCUUCGCCUCAAAUGCUGAUAUGGUGCCAUGAACCAUAUUUGCAACUUCUUCGAGGGUAUGAUUCGAAUACUUUGCCUCACCAACUUUAUCGUCAUUCUUAUUUCCAGUCGAUUUUGAGCUCGUCUCAGAAUCAAGAAGCACAUUUCCGGAAGUUGCCUACAGAAAAAAGGCAGUGUGAGAACAUCUAUAUGAGCAAAUUUGCUUUGACUUUUCUCAUUCCAAAAGAGUCAAUUUUUAUAUUAUAUAUUCUUUGAGCAUCUCAGACACUCCAUACGCCAUUACAUCAACUUAUCUAUACCAUACAAAUGUUACAAACUCAGACUCAACAAACUUUUGGUCUGUCAAAAGCUUUCUGGAAGCAAACCGUUUGCCACUUGCUUCUUGAGCAGAUAAAUUGUUCUAGAAGCCAAGAGAAAACAGGCAUUAUCAUAUUGAUAAAAUAAAAAAUUUUGCGAGAAGGCCAUACAACGAUGAUGAAGAUGAAUCAAUGCCAGAAGCUAUUACUUACAGAUCAGAUGCAUAUGAUCUGAUUCAAUUUCAAAGACGUCUUCAUAGAUCAAUGAAAAAGUAGUAAAUCCAAAUAAAGAUAGGUAUAAAUUCACACCUUUGCAAACUUUCCACUGAACACAGAUAAAGCUAAUCUCCAGAAGGCCGGAAUAUGCUGGAUAACUACCGCAGUUAACCUGCGAAUAUAGCUACCCCUUAAAAAAUCUGCUUCCUCGCCCAUGAAGUUUGCAGGCUGUGGCUCCAUUUGAACAGAAUCACCAAUAGAUGAAUCCAUUUCCAGCUGAACAAAACAGAUUCACAAUUUACUAAAUGUCCGAGUGAAAAAAGGGAAUGGUAAAAGAAGUAGAGAUAGUGUAUACGUAACCUCACAAAAUUAUGUAUUUACACAAAAAUCCAUUAAAAUUAGGAAUUUCACAUAUGCCCUUCAAAAACUUAAUUUCCUACAUGAAUACGUUUAUACUUGAAAAAUGUCCCACUUCAAAAAAAGUCUUUUCCCUGUUAAUUGGAUGACUCUCAACUUAAAAUAAGGGUGCAUUUAGAGGGGUAUAUACAAAAAAUCAGAAUGUAUACGUGAAAGUAGAAGAAUUUUCAGGGACAUAUAUGUAAAAGCCCUAAAAACUUACUGGCAGCAGGGCUACGGUGUGACAUGACGUCCAAAUAAGCAAAGGUAGAAGCAAUUAUCAAGCACAAUAUGCAACACCUUGCUAUUUUCUAUACUCUUUUUCUCACAGUCAGCCUUAUUUAUCUUUAAAUAGAAAAUAAGAAAAUAAAGAAAUUACAAUAAAUCCGAGCCCAAGAAAUAAAGCACUUACUGAUCUAUUAGAAUCUUGCUGGAGUUGCCUCCACCUUGCAUCAGAUUGAAGUUUUUCUCGGAUCUGAUUUUGCAGAUGCUCCGUCCUUGCCUCAUGAUCUAACGUGCACUUUUCCAACAAUAGUCUGAUCCUAUGAUUCUGAUGAAAGAAGAUGAUGCCAAUAAUACUUGGUUAAAAACCACUCAAUAUUAACUUAUGCACAACAGACUUAAAAGAUGAUGAAUAAAUUAGCUGUAUACCUGUAUAUUAAGAAAAUGCCACACAGGAUCUGAGUCAGGUUCCAACUCCAACAACAGCCUAACAAUGUUCUCCAGCUGAAGAUGACCACAUUAUAGUUAACUAAGUGCGAAAUCCUCAAAUAUAACACAGAGUAAAGUUAUGUCUUAGCCUUAACAUUAAAAAUAACACAAAGAACUACUUCUCAAGUUGGCACAUCUCGAAUUCUUAUUAUUUUUUUAUAGAACGUCAACACUGAAUUAUGUCUUCUCAACAAAAAUGAAAAAAAAAUAUAUUUUACUUACAAAAGCUAGGUCAAGUUGUGGAUCUUCCAUUGAUUUAUAAAGCAUACCCCGGAACUCCUGCAUUACUUUUUCCACCUCUUCAAGGACACGUUUCAGUAUGCCAACCUGCAAGUUUUUUAAAGCAACAUAAACAGACUGACUAGAACAGAACAAGAAUAUGUACAACAGUGAUAAUCAAUCCAGAAUCACAAGACUGUUCGAGUCCUCAAAAGAGCAUAAACUAACAAGGGGGACUAGCGGGCAUGCAUAAAUUUAGAGUGCAAAUAGAAAACAGACUAGUGAAAUUGACGUACAUGAGAAGGAAGAACAAUGGACUUUGCUUUCCGGUAUUCUCUAACAGCUAAAUCAUAUUCUCCUUUUCUGAUGCUCCCACGAAUUAAACUGGGUAGAUUAAAUAGUGUUCGGAACCUCUGAAGCAUUCCUUGAACAGAUCUAAUUUUCUCAGCUUGAACCUGAAUUAUCAAGUUUAGCACACUUAGCCAGCUAUUAUUUAACUGCACUAUUUACAAGUUAGAAACUUAGCUUUUCCUAGACAAGUAAUAAAUCCUCUACCUGCCUCUCAAACAAAGGCUGAAAUGCACGAUUAGCCACAGCACUGAUUUUUUGUGUGACUUCAUACAAGUGAGCGGUGCCUGCACCCUCCGGGUCUUCCUCUAUCAGCCUCAAUUUUGAUUCAAUAUCUACAAGAUCACAUAGAGAGCUUCUUACAGAAUACGAAAGGAAAUGCUAUGUAAUAUGAACCCAGGGAAACACAGUUAUCAACCAGCAAUGGAAAUUUAUCGUAAAUUACAAAUAUUGAAAGCAUCAGGCAGGCCCAGAAAAAUAAUUGCAAGAAAGCUUAGUAAAACAUACCAUCAAUUGUCGUUUUGCAAGAAACAAAGCAAUCGAAAUUCUCUUUCACUAGUUGUUUUUUCUGCUGUGUCCUUCCUUUUAGAUCAGUCUUCAGAGUAAGAGCACCGGAUUCUAAAUCAGCAGCGGUCGUCUCUUGGUGGACCCGUGAAAGGAAAACCUUGGGAUCAAAAUUUGGAGAAGAGUAUAUUACUUUCUCUGCAAAAGUAAAUUGAACUCCAAUGAAAAAUCAUGAAGACCAAUUUGAAAUCAUAGAACGAAUGACUUAGUGACCAGUUAGAUAAGAGCAUAACACCUGACAAAGUCAAAUAAACAUGUCAUGUUCAUUUGCAGUAGAAAAAAUAAUGGUUAGAUAUCACGGGGACUAGAACCAUUUUGAAACUGAUCGAUUCCAGAGGGCCUCAAAAAAGGCCAAAAGAAACAAUAAAACAACAUGUAAAUUGCCAAGUCUAAUAAACUGAGCACACCCUCAAAUUCUUUUCAAAAUUUUCUGUGGUCACAACUGACAGAGUAUCACUUUGCCAUCCUUCAUGGGGACACAAAAAAUGUCAACUGCUGUAGAUUAGACAGCAGAAUUUAAUAGCAAAAGACUUGUAAAAUGGCAAACAGAGGUCAACCAAAACAAUAUAAGCCUGAUGAGUCCAAGAAGAAUAUGUAAUAUGCAAAAUCACUACAGUACCGCAGAGAACAACUGAUUAUUUUAUUACUGGUGAGAAACAAAGUAACAAGGGUAAGAAAGAAGAAGUGGAGAACAUUAUUGUUGUUAAAACUGUUGAAACGACAUUAAAGCAUCUCAAAAAGAAAAAUAGCAGACUAAUGCAAACAAUAGACAUAGAAGAAUCCUUUCUCCAAAAAAAAAAAAAAAAGAGGAAAAAAAGGACAUAAAAGAAUCAUUCACUCUCAUAUAUACAACUACAUGACUUGCAACUUCAAAUCAUUAGCAGUAACAUUUAAUUUGAAUGAAUUCUCUGGAAACAAGUCCAAGGUGUGAUAUUUACUCAAUACUUGGCGACGUUGAGAAAAAACCAAAAAAUGUGCCACAAUGACCAUGUGAACAUGAUAAAUAAGGAGCCUUAAAGCAAAAAAAAAAAAGACUGAAGAGAGCUGAUUAGAAUCAAAUCCAGCAUACCUCUUGUAGCGGGAUCCAAAGCAUCUGACUUCUCUCGUGAUAUUGGAGAGCUCACUGAAGCAUCAGUGAUUAGUCUCAAGGACUUGUUAUCUAUCACCCUGUAAGCAUAAUAAGGAUGUUUUAACAAAGAAGAAGAAUGAGAACAACCUAAAAAUAGUUGCAGAUAAUAUAGAGUUGAAUUACUUCAAUAAAUUUUUUAAAAAAUUCACAAUCGAAAUUCAUAUGAUAAAGGUCAAAGACGAUGAAACGAUAGAUAUGGAAAAUAAACAACACAUCGAUGAAAUUCUUAUUAGCAUGAAUUAGAACCAAAUAUCAAAAGUCAGGAGAAAGGGCAUGAAAGGAAAAGACAAAUGAGCUUUUGUUGAAUAUAUGAAUGAACAUACAAAAGUAAUGUAGAAAAUAAAGUAAAUUUGACAAUGAAAUAUAAUAGCUGAAAGUUUAAUAAAUAGGGGAAGCCAAAGCAAGAGGCUAGCAGCCAUAGAUCAUAUUACCCUAGUCCAAGUGGAUCUAAGACUUCCACCCCUCUAGGCAAAGACUGUAUAUUAGUGAGACCCUUGCGACCCAGGGCUGCUGUUUUCGGCUCGAGGACUUGAGCAACAUGUGCUGCCCUUGUAUCACGCAUUUCUCGAACUCUGCGAGCGAGCUGAAGAUAGGAAUAAUGAAAGAAAAUAAAAUUUGUUCAUUUCUAAGUAGGGAAAAAACCAGGUACAAGAAUUAAGAGUUAUGAAUUUAUAAGAAAAGUUGAGCAGGGGAAAUGGAAAGAGGCUCCAAACAAUAUUAUAUGUAGGAUAAAACAUUAAAUAGCUACUUGAGAACAUUAAUAUGUUAAGAUGGCACAUAGAAGAGAAUGAAUAACACAUUCCAUUUUUCUAGAUAUAAGACUCACAUGGGAAAUUAUAAUUGGUCUUGCAUAGGUCGCCCAAAGUUUCUACGAGAAACACAUAAAGUAAAGCCCAGUUAUGGUUGUUACUGCUGCAGACUCUGUUCCAGUAUCUACCUAAGUAGGCAUCUCACCAAUAACACUACACUAGCUUCAACAGACUCAUUGUGAGUUUUAGCUGCUGAGACAAAGGAUCUUAAAUCCUUACAAAUGAUAGAAAAUCAAAUCAACUAGACCAGUUUUACUAUACGAUAAAUGCUUAAUAUUAUCACAAGUUCUAAACACGAAAAUUGAAUAUGCUUCAAUAUGGCACUAGAUAUAUUUUCCUUCCACCAUUCAUCAACAAUUUCUUACAUCAACAAAAUUUUAAGCCAUAGGGUUCAUAAGUCCUUAUUGUUUCCUUCCCAUCCUUCUGCAUUACUGAACUACGUGCUAGUGCUCUUAUUGCUGAAGCCAUCUUCUAAAUAGCACUGCAAGCUCCAGAAAGGCAUUCAAAACUCUGGCACCUGACACUCGAGUGUCUUUAAGCUUGUUCACGCAAUUAGCUUUAUCAGGUGGAUUUCGGUUAAAAUAUCGAAUAGCGCCAACUCGUUGUUAGCACUAUAUUUUUAACAAUAGGUUGCCAAAAUGAGUGUUCACACUGUUAAACGCGAUAUAAAGCAUAAGUAUAUAGGCACUAAACUUCAAGAUUUUGCUACAUCAUCUACCGGAUGAUCGACUUGUCUCAAAAUUUAUUUUCAUAACGGUCCAGGCAUUUAUUCAUUCUACUAUCCUGGAGAAUCCAAAUUAGCUGAAAUUUGAUUGGAAAACAUCUAGAACUAUCAAGAUCAAGAUAGACAUUUGACCUUAAAUUGAAGACCCCAAUCUUCUAUUUACAACAUUGUUCGAUCUUCACCAUACACUUGAAGCACUUGAAUAUAAUUUUCCAAAAUCAUGAAAUUUGCAGCAUUGACUGCCAAUUUGAUUGGCCUAUCAUCGAACAUCUUGAGGCUGGCUAUCAACAGUACUGUAACCACAGUUGCAUUUUUUGUAGAUCACUUUUAACUACAUCUACUUCACCUUUUCCAUCAUUUUGUUUUUUCCCCGUAAAAUGAUCGUUUCCAUUUUAUAUGCAGCUUAAAAGGCUUACGAUCUAGCUAAAUAAAAACGUUGACAGGCAAAAGACAAAUAGAGCAACCUAAUAAAUGAAAACGUUGAAAUCAGAGGAAUUGUACUGGAUAUAUCUGCGUUUAAACAAAUUAGGGGCUAAAAUCAGCAGAAACCGUAAGAGAAAAGUAACUUCGGAGCGAAAUUGAAACAGAAAUGUUCCAACCUCGGCCUCAUCGACCUUCUUCCAGCUCCUCGGCUCGUCAUCAUCCCACCCGAGAUCCCCGUCGUCCGUGGACCCCCUCCGAUCCCCUCCCGCGGCCCGAUUCCGCGGCGGCGGCGGCGCCCGAUCCUUAGACGCAUCCUCGUCCCCGGACGAGAUGCUCAGCAAUUCGACCUCGGAAUCGUCGUCGUCGUCGGCGCCGCCGCGGCUCGGGUUCCUCGCCUUCGCCGGGGCCGGAUUGGGCCUGGCGGCGGCCCUAGGGUUAGCGCUCGGACCGCGGCGGUCCCUCCCGGAGGCUGGACGAGGUUGACGACGGGCCUCGCCGACGCCCUGGGGGGCUUCUGGUAGCUGAGAUCGCGCUCCGCUUGCUCCCUAAGCGCGAUCUGGAGAAGCUCGUCCUCGUCAAUGUCGCUACCGCUCGACAUCGCUCGCUACUUCUUCUCCCUCUUCUCUCUCUCUCUCUCUCCCUCUCUCUCUCUAUAUUUUUGUUUUUGUUUUUGUUUUUUUAUGCGAGCUCAGAUCUGAUGGGGGAGGAAGAAGACGAUUAGAAAUGGAAAAGAAGAAGAAGGGUCGGGUCGGUUUUAUACGGUGGCUCGGCGUGGUUCGACCCGGUACGCGGAGCGGACAGGGUGGAGCCGGGGCGGUUUGAGUUGGGUUCUAGCUUAACGGGUUACGGGUCUAUACUUGGCUGAUUAAAAUGUGGACCCUACCUAAGGACGUGUUUGGUUCGGUGUGCAACGUGAAGUUAUGACUUCGCCCGCUAUUAAGGACUCGUUUGUUUAACCGAAGCUUAACUUUAGAUUGAAGUAAAGUGUAGAUAAAAAUUAUUUUCUUUUUACUGUUUGUUUUAUAUAGUUAUGUAAAAGUGAAGUUUUUUUUAGCUCUAAUAUUUAUUUAGUAGAAAGUGAAUAAUGAAAAAGUAUAAUUUAUAUAUAUAUGAAUAAUAAAUAAUAAAUUAUAAUAUAAUAAAUAAAAAUAAUAUAAUUAUAUUUCUAUAUAAUUUAAAAAAAUUAAUAUAAAAUAACUAAAUUAUUUUUUUACACACAAAUUAUAGAAAAAAUUUCAAAUACCACUAUGUGAUUUUGUACUUUUUUAUUUUAGUAUCAUGUAGUUUAAAAUGUAUAAAUUUAAUACUCCGUCGUUUUAUUUUUCUUUUUCUAUUAUUCCAUCCACUAUUUUUUUCGUUAAAUUAAUGACAAAGUUAAAAUAAAAAGAUACAGUGAGAAAAAUAUAAAAAAAAAUAAAAUAAUAAAAUGGAUAACACUAGUUAUAUUUAAGUAUAUUUAAUUAAUUUAAAAUAUAAUAAAAAUUUGUUAAUUAAGUUUUAAUAUGUUCUUUCUUUUAGUUAUUUAAAAUAUGAUAAAAAUUGAUUAGUUGUAUUAUUUUCUUAUUUUAUGAUUUUAUUGUUGCAUUAUUAUAAUUUAGAGUAAAUUUCAAAUACUACUCUUGUGAUUUCGAAUAUUCUCACUUUAGCACUCUGCAUUUUAAAGUGUAUCAAUUUAAUACCACGUGUUUUUUUUUUUUUUGUCAGCUACUUUGUUAACAUUUCGUUAAAUUAUUAUAUAUAGAAAACUUCAGAUAUCCUAGCUAUUUCAAAUAACUCAAAUUUCAAAAUCAAACAGUAUACAUGAUCGUUUACAGCCGGAAACAAUUUAAUCCUCUCCAUUUUCAGCCAAACAAACAAACCCAUUGCUUCCACACUAUUCGCCUAAUUCAUUUUUGCGUAAUGAACGAAGCAGGUAACUCGCUAUCUUUUCUUAAAAAAAAAAGAAAAAAAAAUGAAAUUUAAAUUAAAAUAAAUUUACAGGUAAAUUAAAUUUUGAGUAAAAAAUUAUUUCUUUUAUAUUGUUAGUAUGUAUAAUUUUAGAACUAAAAUUUUUCACUUCUGAUGCUUGUUUGGCAAAAAAAAACUGAACGAAUCAAAGUUAGAGAUAUGAAAAACAAAUUAAUAUUGCUUUUUUUUUUAUUGAGCUUGGCCUAGAGUGAGUGGAAGUCAAUUAUAUUAUUUCAAAAAAAAUUAAAUUUCAACCAAAGGCAAACAAUAAAAAUAAAUGCUUACAAUUAAACAUCACUUCAUUCCUCUCCACAUUUGUAAAACUAACACAAACCGUGUGGCCUAAGCUCACAACACCAUAUUUCUGCAACAAUUUUGUAAUUCAUCUAAUUUUAUCCCAACCAACCACACUUAUUCAUAAUCAAACACAAAAAAAAUAAAAAAUAAAAAACAAAAGUUUUAUUACAAAAUAAUUGAAAAUAUUUUCAAUUAUUCAAAAAUUGAAUUUUCAAAACUAAACAGUACCAUAGUUUCUGAUGGGAACAGCAUUUCAUUAUAAUAAUAAUAAUAAUAAUUAGAAAGAGUAGUUUCAAUUUUAACACUAUUUUAUCUCAUCCCCCAAUAAAAAAAAAACUAUCUUAAUUUAAAACUCUCGUAUCUAAACUCAAAACUUUUUUUUACAAAGCUCAUAAUGUAAAUUUAAAUUAAAUAAAAAAAUUAAUAAUAUUAAAAGCCUGGUAUAACACAAACUAUAUUUUUAUAUUUAACAAUCUCUAACCUUAAAACAAAGUCCAACAAAAACCUCAAUUAUCAAGGCUUAAAACUGUAUCAGUUUCUUAGAUUUUGAAAAUUUUCAUUCUUCGUUGACUCAGUCCAGGUAAUAAUUUUCUCCCUUUUAAACCAAUCUUAUCAUGUUCAACAUGAACAGGCAAUUAUUUAAUUAAGCCCCAAUUAAAUCCAACAAAAUAUCAACAUUAGUGAAAUAGAACAUCACAACGUACAAUCUCCAUUCUAUAAACCAUUCAUAAUGCUAAAUUAUAAAUUAUUUCCUUUGCCUCUUCCCAUUUCCCUUUAUAGAUUCCAAUAAAAUUAAACCACAAAAUCGGAAUAAAUGAAUUUGCACACACACCACUGCAAAUAAAUGAAAUUGUGCAGAGACUAGUAUAAAACUUGCAUUUGCAUACAUAAUCAAAUAAAUGCAAGCACAAAGUUUGCAAAAACACCCAUUCUGUAUUUUUCCAGGGACAUUCGUGCAAAAAACACACAUGAAAUCUCGACUAAGAGAGUAAUAAGAGAGAAUCCAUUUUAAUCCAAUAAUAAUUCCACCGUUUUUCCAUUAAGAAAACAACUCCAAACACCCGAAACCAUUUCCCUCCUACAUUAACACCACGAAACGAAAGAAAACAAAACCCUAACCCUAGAAUCGAAGCCACCUACCGCCAUUACCGACGACGAUCUCAAGCUCGCUCGCCGCGGAUCCUGCGGGCGAGCUGGAUGUCCUUGGGCAUGAUGGUGACGCGCUUGGCGUGGAUGGCGCAGAGGUUGGUGUCCUCGAAGAGGCCGACGAGGUAGGCCUCCGCGGCCUCCUGGAGCGCGGCGACGGCCGAGCUCUGGAAGCGGAGAUCGGUCUUGAAGUCCUGCGCGAUCUCGCGGACGAGGCGCUGGAACGGGAGCUUGCGGAUGAGGAGCUCCGUGCUCUUCUGGUACUUGCGGAUCUCGCGGAGCGCCACCGUCCCCGGCCGGAACCGGUGCGGCUUCUUCACCCCGCCCGUCGCCGGCGCCGACUUCCGCGCCGCCUUCGUCGCCAGCUGCUUCCGCGGCGCCUUCCCCCCCGUCGACUUCCUCGCCGUUUGCUUCGUUCUCGCCAUUAGAGCAGGUCAGGAGAAGUAGACGAUGAUGCGAUUAGGGUUAGGGUUAGGGUUUUGGAGGGGAAAGUGGUGUGGGUGGGAAUUGGGGGAGAAGAAGGGUGGGUAUUUGUAAGGAGGGGGAAUGGGGAAUGGCGGGGGAUGAAUUUUGAAAAUUAGAGAAAUUUGUGAUAUUUUGGCGCUGCGUCGAAAAUUGGGAGGGAAAUUUUGAGCGUUGGAUUGGAAUAAAUCGGACGGUUGAGACGUCGUUUGAAGAGCGCACACGGAUCGCUAUCUCGGGCUGGUUUUGCUCUUCUAUUACUUUUCUUUGGUGUUACUAGCUUCGAGAAAUUGUCUUCUGAACCUGGUUCACGAUGAACCCGCUAGUGUUAAGGGCAAUCUUAAGGACUGAGAUGGAAUGGACGGCUAAGAUAAUGCGGUUCAUAGAAUGACGUGGUGCACUUGGGGUUAGAAUGAAAUUUCCUUUAGGUUUAGCCCAACCCAAUCCAAUAUAUGGGCCGGCCCAUUUAAGCAUCAAAUUUGUUGGGCCGAUCCAAAUGUAGACCCAAAAGCCCAUGAUCAAAACAACAGAUUCAACGGUUGAGAUCGAAAGCAACCACCCCCCGAAAUUUCGCCGAGCGCCUCCACGAUCGGAACCAUCUAGCUCCUUCUAGGGUUCUCUCUCUCUCUCUCUCUCUCUCUCUCUCUUUCUCUCUCCCACGAUAAUCCCCAUCUUCUAUUGAGAAUCCUCGCUACCCGAUCCUCGUUCCCAAAGGUGAGAUCUCUCGAUCUGUAAUCGGUGCGUUUGAUUUCGAUUGCUCUUCGUUUCGAUCGAGUUUGACUACGAGUAGUCUAUGCGAGCAAUUUGAUUCAUUUUGAGUUGUUUUUUAUAAUAAUUUUUUGCAGGAGGAAUCAGCAAGCGUGAUCUACCGCAUUUGAUCUUCAUGUCGGUAUUUUGUGUUCAUCUCAUGAUUUGACCCUCUUACUUCGAUUACAAUUUACCAUAAUUUUUUGUUAAAGUAUAUGUCUUAGUAUUUAUUUGCAAAGAACAUUUGCGGUUUUUAUGCGUUUAUUUGUUUAUUGUCCUAUGCUGUGAUUGAGAGAUUUGGUGAAUUCAAUGGAGUGUAAUGGAUAGUGGAAUUCAUUUAGUUAGAUUGUGUAAUGUUUUGCUAGGAAAUGUUUUGAAUGAAGAGUAGAGAAGGUACAUUAUGAACAACUGAAGGAUAUUGGAAAUAAACCACUUAUUAGAUUAGAUUAAGUAGAUUUUGUGUUGGCCACUCAUGCUCUACCUGCAGGAACUUGUCUUAUUACAUUAUAUUUCCCUGUUCCGUGUUCCUCGUUGGUUUGAGCUUGAUAAUUUGAAUUGGGAUUUUAACUUUCAAAUCCUUGGUGAUUUCUCAAGAAUAAAAGUUUUGGAAUGUUACUAUUUGGCGUUACCUAUAAUAUCAAUGAUCAUGUUAGAGACUGCAGGCUCGAUACAAAAAGGAAGUGAAUUUUACACUUAGGAUGGACCCUCAUAAGGACAUCUGAAACAGGCUGAAUUAAUUGAAGGGCCAUUUAAAAUCUGCAUCUUUUUCUUUUCUUUUCUUUUUAUUUUUGGCUAAAAGUGUAAUGAAAGAUGGAAAUUGUACUGCCAGCAAUUGACUUGACAGUCUCAUCUCUCUUGAAUCGAAAGAUAAUCUCUACUUUUAGAUGAUUUUGGACUUGUUUUGGUGGGCAUACUAGGUCCAAAAGGGACAGUGUUUUUGAGCCAAGUGUGAACUAAAGCUGUUAGUGGCCUUUGAUCGAGAUUCGAGAAUUCGGGAUUUAAUGUUUCACUUUGUUUAGUUUCUCACUUUGGGGAUUUAAGUUCAGAUGGGUCUUAAGUAGUGACCCUUGGUUUGGCGAGCCACGAGUGCCAGGUAACAUAAGGUUGUGUGACACAUUGAGGUGACUUCAUCCCAUGUCUAAUUUGAUUAAUGGAAAUGAUGGUUGUGACUGCCAUCUAAGAUCCCUAUUAAUCUCCCUUUGCUAUUUAUCUACCAUCAAAAUGUAUUGGCAAUUUUAUGUGAUUUUCUUGUCUUGGCAACCCUUUAUCUACUUGCCAAGUGAUUAUUGAAAUUAGAAUUUGAUUUGAACAUGUUGCCUUCCAUCUUUCGGUGAUUGGCCACGCUACCCAGGGAUUCAAUUUCUGUCUUUGAUUUGGAGCAUCCCUAUAUACUUUUAAGCUUAUAGUUUAUGCUCUUAUCUUGCUGUGCUAUGCUAUAUUGCACAUCAGGGCGGAUGAGGAAGUAGUUGAUCCAAAGUUGUAUCUGGAGGAGCGGUGCAAGCCAAAAUGUGUAAAACCAUUGUAUGAGUACCGGGUAAUGUGCCGAAUCUUCUUUCCAAUCAAUUAUCAGCCUAACUGCUUUAAUAUAUAUUGAUUUAAUUACAUGUCCUCGCAUACUUCUUGGUUAUAUGUAUAGCACUAAUCAAUAACCAUGAUUAUCCAAUUCUUGUCUGAUUUUUUUAAAAAAAAAGUUUUUAAAAUUACUGGGCUCAGCAGCAGUUCCAUCUCUUAAAACUUCAUAUGUUCCUUGGGCUGUGAAUUAACUUAUUGUAAAAUGUAUGGAUAGUCCUUGCACUAUCUUGAUAUAACAGCUUAGCCUCUCAUCUGACAGCUCCAAAUUCCAUCAUGCCGGUGAACAUUCAUAAACACACUCCUCCAACUUAGGUUACUAAUUUGUUUUCUUGAAAUCCUUUGCAUAUUUUGGCUUAAAUAUUUGACAUUCAAAAGGAAGUUAGUUCUACUUCCUGUUUAGUUAUUGACCUUUUAGUUUUUUAUCUUAUUGUCAUCUUUAUGUUGAAUUAUUCGGUUUUGGUUUUUCAUGAUACACAGGAAUGUGUUAAGAGAGUCGAAAACGAUGACACUGGGCACAAGCAUUGUACCGGCCAGUACUUCGAUUACUGGAGAUGCAUAGAUAAAUGUGUGAGUACUCUCUCUCUCUCUCUCUCUCUCUCUCUUUUGCACGCAUGCGUGGUCACAACGUUUCUUGCCUGAUAUUUUCCACUGGGAGUUUGGACAGAAAACUAUUUGUCAUUCCUGGUGCUUCUGAAAUUGAUCUAAAAUUUUCUCAUUUGAAUGUAGGUUGCUGUGAAGCUAUUUGAAAAACUAAAAUGAAGAUGAGUUGCUAUUUUUGGUGAGUGGUAUUCUGUUUUGUUCGCACUCUUUUAUCUGUCAACUCAAUAAAAUCCUUCUGAUGACUUGCCACAUGAGCAAAUUCAUGUUCAAAGUGUUGAAUAUGUAACAAAAGAUUUUUCCUGCCUGAUAACUCUCCAUAUUAAUGCUGUUAAGUUUUGAUUUUUCCUCCCGACGGCAACACUGAUGGACGACCAUUAAGGUCUCUCUUUCCCUAUCUCCAUGUGGAAACAUAGCCACUAGAACUGUGGAUUGUGGAUUAGUGGAAUGAUUCUCAUUUUAUGAUCGCACUUUACUAAAAUUGAUUGUUUAAUUUUACUGUCUGCUGAUGUGGAACGGCAUCUUUUGCUCAAUAUGAUUAUGCCGGGCUCAAUGCCCUGCAUGAAUAACUCCCACAACUUGCAAAAUAAUAAAAGACAUGAACUGAUGGAUGUGGUGAUAAUGUAGAAAAAAUUUCUUAUUACCAUUAGUUCACUUUAUAGUGCUAUCGUGGGACUUGUUACUUUUGUAUUCAUGUUUUUUUUAACCCUUGUGUUUCUUAGCCACGCGAAGCUGCUACAAUUCACUUAUCAAAUGGUUUGGUGGGUCACUCCAAUGCACUCUUUUAUAUAGUUGAACCUUGAAAAUUCCACUUUUUGUAUCUGUGUGCUGCAUUCUUUUUGUUGUCUGUGUUUAUGUGCCCGAAAACUUAUUUACUUCUUUGAAUGGUACUUAGUUGUGAAAAUUUGAAAAAAGAUCCUUGUGAUACAUCAAAUUUUUUCAUCACUAAUUUGUGCUUUUUUUUUUUGCUCUAAUUGGGUGUUCUGUGGUUGCUGCUUCGAGUUUUCCGAAGGACUUUUAUGCUAAAUCUGGUAUAUCAGAUUUUGAUUGCGUAUGGGUCUGGUUGAUCAAAAUUCAAUCUGUAAUUUCAGUUCAAAUUCCAAAUUUAGGUCCAGUUUAAAUUAAAAUCCGACCCCGGUUGCGUAUUUGCUCCUUUAAGGCCACAUUGUGAUGCAAUUUAUAUUCAACAUAGUCAAAUUUUAACUGCAGGAAAAAGCAUGUAUCGUUAUGAAUGUCAGCUUCUUUUAUAUUGGCUUUGUAGCCAUCUAAAGCAAAAGGCUAAUACAGGCUAAUACAAUAAUGCAAUAAAGUACUCCCAAACUGGGAAAAAAUGAAGUUGGAAUUUGAUUUGCUUGAGGAGGAUUGAGGAGAGACGUAACUGCGGUGAUGCUGCGUCAUUUUCCAUCGUACUCGGCAUGUUUUUGUUGGCCAUUUAUUUCUCCUAUUAUCAUUACUCUUGUAGAAAUUAAAUGUUUUCUUUUAGAUAAACGAAGUGGCGCCCGCCAAACAAUAUAGCCAUUGAGGCGGCAAAAGGGCGAAAACUACGGUAACUUUCGCGUUCAGUAUUGAACUGCAGUGCACUUUAAGUUAUCUGAAUCUUAAAUUUUUUUAAUUUGUUACUUAGUUUCCUAAUGUUUCCGAGAUAGAUAGUGAACUGUGGUUGUGUAGUAAAAUAGAAAUUGAAGUUCAGGUACAUAUCUUAGCAAUAAAGUUUGUGCAUGUUUUUACCUACUUUUGAUGUUGCUAAGGAGUGAACUGUGAUUGUUUCUGUACCAGCUUUGUAGUGGGCUUCUACUUCACAUUCCAUUCAUUUUUCUUUUUCUUUUCUUUGUCUCAUCUCCACUAGCAACUCUUCACUAGCUUUUUCUCGAAGUGCUUCUAGAGCUAAUUAUUAUAAUUCGUGUUGGAAUUGGAAAGUUGACGUUUCUGCUGUUCCCCAUUUCUUCAACAAUGUUUUUAAUAUGGUUCUCAGCCUUUUCGAAACUUCAAAGUAGGUCCUUAGUCCAUUUAAUCGCAAUUUAAACUUCGGUUUUACGAACAUUAUAAGAGAUUUGAUUAAAUUUUGUUUCUCCUCAUAUGAGGUGAAUAAUUAUUAGCUGUAAGUUGAAAGGAGGAAAAAUGAAAAUUAAAAAAAAAAAAGGUUUACUAUAUGCAGAUCCAAAUUAUAUGAACUAAAAUGUGUACACGCAAACCACAACAAAGCAUACAUACAUACAUAUUUAUAUGUGUGUGUUUGUGUGUUUUUUGCCCCCCCCUUUUUGAAGGGAUUAGCUCUAUCUUGAUGAAACACUAUAACUGGUAUCCAGUCACCAAACCUUCUGGUUCUAAUGGUACCAAAGCUGAUUGCACCGGAUCCGGGCCGGUCCGGCUCGCCUCGCCGCAACCCGAACUCUUCUGGCGCCCGCCAAACAAGCAUUGGCGGCAUGUCGGGCAUGACGAUCGCGCCAUAAGCCACCGGUCGAUGCAAACAACGUGGAAUCCGUGGUUGCAUUUGGGCAGGACCCGAACCUGCUCGCCGAGCUGAAAGUCCGACAGACAGAUCGCGCAUUCCGGAUCGUUCGCCUGGAGUUUCAGCCCCGGAGAGUAGACCAAGAUCGGCAUCGACCGCAGGGCCUUUCUCCGUGACCCCGACUGCGCCAACCGUCUUACCGGAUUCGACUCCAAAUCGAUCACCGGCAUCUGAUUCGAACAUCUGAGCGCGCAGCGCACGAUGGAAUUGAGCCCCAGCGCGCAGAUCAAGGCGCACAGGAGGACGGCGAGGAUCAUGACGACGUUGGCAUCGAAGCUGUUGCCGGUCGAGCUGCUCGAGUCCGGGAGGUACUGGACGUAUCUCGAGUUAGAAACCGAUGUUCCGAUCGCAGAUUGGCUCGGGCCGGGGAGUUGCUUGUGGAGUGGAGUGUGGAGGAGUGCUCUUCUACUGGAGAAGAUCAGUGCUUCUCCACUGAAGGAGUUGGAGAGAGCAGUAGUAGUCUGGAGAGUGGGAGAGAGAGAAUAAGGCAUAGUUGCUGCAAACUGCUAAGGGGGGGGUUUUAGUGUAGUGAGUUUGUUUCUUUAAGUGGAAUUCAAUUGGGGGUGUUAGGUAGGGGGUGUAUAUAUAGAGAGGGAACGGAUAAAGCUAAAGACCCAAUAAAGCUUUAUGUGGUUAUUAUUAGUUUAAGGCGCAAUUACAAAUAUAUCACUGAAAAGUUUUCGACUUUCUGAUUUACCCAUCUUAGAAAACUAAUAUUAAAAAUAUUCUUUAUACGUUACAAUCUAUUUCAAAUAUACUCCUAAAGUUAAAAUAUGUUAAUGAACACUGUUAUCUCUGUGAAAUUAUUAUUUUGUCAUUUCAAAUAUACCCUUCUACCAUCACCGAUUUUUCUUAUUUGUUCUUAAAUUAGAAGCACAAAAAGUAUUUUGCUUUUUGGUCUUUUCAAAUAUACCCUUCUGCCAUCAUCGGCAUUUCUUAUUUGCCCUUAAGUUAAGGACAAAAGUGGUAUUUUAAUUUUUUUAACUGUAAUAAAUAAUUAACUCAUUUUUAACCCAAGUUAACUUAACGGGUAGUAAUUGCAGGAGUAUUUUGAAAUAAUGGAGGAACAUAUGAGGGGUAAAUUGAAAAGAAAAAAAAAAUAGGAAUAAAUAAAAUAUUUUCGAAGUUUUUAGGGAAGUUUUGAGGGGUAUACGGACAAUUAUCCCUUAGUUUAAUCUGCUAGGAUAAGUUGUUCCCUCAACCUAACCUAUACAUUUUUCUUCUUUUUCACAAAAAAGUAAUAGGGAUCAAAAAGAAUAUUAUCCAUUAUUAUUAUUAUGAUUAUUAUUAUGAGUAAUUUAGCAUGUGCUUUGGAUCAAUGUAGAAAAAAAAAAGAAAAAAAAAAGAAAAAGAAAAAGGAAGGCAAGAUUUGUUUGUUUGAGGGCACUCUCCCUCAAAAAAAUAUAUAUAUAUGUGGGGAGGCAUUUAUCGCUGCUUUAAAAUUCGUGCAUUGCGUAAUAUGAAUAGCCGAUUAUUAGACUAUUUUUUUAUGGAGUAGCUCUACAUUUAACUUUGGUUCCCUCUUUUCUGCCAAAAAAUCUCAGUAAAAUAUUCUCCUGAGUAAGUAUUUAAACGAUACGAGACAUAAAACAGAUUCUAAACUCUCAAAAACACAUAAUUUAGUUUUUACGAGCUUUACUAAUAAGAGUUGGUUUUAAAUUACCUAUUUUCUAAACUUUCGAUAUUAAUCAAAAGUUUUUUAAAAAAUUGUCUAAAAACAUUUUUAGUGUGUAUUUCCUUUGGCAAUAAUAAUAUCAUUUAUUUUAGGAGAAACUUCAAAUACCCCCAUGUGGUUUCAUACUUUCUCACUUUAGUAUCAUGUGGUUUAAAAUGUAUCAAGUUAGUAUCCUGUAGUUUUGCACUUUCUCACUUUAGUACCCUGUGGUUUCAAGUGUACCCUGUGGUUUCAUUUUUGCAUCAAGUUAGUACCCUGUGGUUUCAAUUUUCUCGUUUUAUUAUCCAUUUCGGGGUAUAUAAUUUAACGAAAUAUUAAACCACAGAGCAAUAAAGUGAGAAAGUGCGAAACCACAGGGUACAAAAUUGAUACACUUGAAACCACAUGGUACUAAAGUGAGAAAGUGUGAAACCACAGGAUACAAAAUUGAUACACUUAAAACCACAGGGAACUAAAGUGAGAACGUGCGAAACCACAUGGUACUAACUUGAUACACUUUAAACCACAGCGUACUAAAGUGAGAAAGUGCGAAACCACAUGGUAUUAACUUGAUACACUUUAAAUCACAGGGUACUAAAGUGAGAAAAUGCGAAACCAGAGGGGGAUAUUUGAAGUUUGGCCUUUAUUUUACCUAACAUAUUUCUCAUAUUUAAUUCUUAAUUAUUUGAUGGGCCUAUUAUUUAGCAAUAUAAUGUAACUAAGGAGCAUUAUACCUAAGAAUAAACAAGUAAUUAAAGGACCACGAAGAAGCGCUGCGUAAUUAAGCAAAAGCUAAUUAUUCUUAGCGCACUAAAAAGCGCUUCUAUUAUUAAAGUUUCGUAUGCGCCUCCUCCUCCCACUUUUAACGCGUGAGCCCGUGCCACGUGUCGUGCCACGUGGAUGCCGACGUGUCGUGAUUCUAUUGCGUGGGCGGUGGGGCCCGCGUUGGCUCCACCAAUGGGCGCACGUGUUUUUUUUGCCGACAUCGAAAGAAGUGGCCGUAUCAUUUUCACAUUAGCUUUUACACUCCUUUUUGCAACAUGGCCCUUCCCACUUAUUAAAAUUGCACACUUUUAUAUCCAUAUUUCAAAAUUUUAUUUUAUUUUAUUUUAACUUGUUUUUUUCCAUACAAUUCUUUAGAUUUUUUACGCGUCUCGAAUUCCUAAAAUAGUCACUUGAAUUAUUUGAAUUUACCUACUCAACUUUUCAAAAUUUUAAUUUCACUAACAACCCUUUUAAUUUAUUUGAUUUGAGUUAGUCAAUUAAACUUUGACUCUAAAAUUUAAACUAAUUACUUAUUUAAUAAACUUGUAGUUAUAAAAAUUGCAUAAAAUAUAUUAAUUAAAUUUGUAAGAAUAAACAACACAUUUAAAUUUUAAAGUUAAUCUGUGGCUAACUAACUCAAAUCAAACAAAUUAAAAGAUUAGAUAGUAAAAUCAAAAUUUUGAAAGAUGGAUAGUCAAAUCUAAAUAGUUCAUAGUUCAGAUAAGUUUUAUACAUUUUUAUCAACCAAAAAAAAGUUUUAAAAAAAACCCAAGAGAUUCAACUCACUUGUUUCAUUUUUAUCCUUAUGAGGCACUAAAUUUCUCAAGUGACAUAAUUGUAGACAUCUACGUGUUGGGCAUUAUACUAAUCCCAUGAAUCUCUUACCCCCAUUCACUCAUCAAAUGUUUUAUAGGCCCCAAUAUUUUUUUAAAUUUUUUAUAGGCCACAAUGUACUACAUAUUCACACUAAUGUAAUUUUUUAUAUAAAUUUGUCGCAAGAGUCGGUCCUAUAUAAAAUCUCAUACAUGCAUGCGUAUUGAAUAUAAAUAUUAAAAAUAUUAUUAUUCCGAUUUCUUAAACUUUUAGAAAUAACAUGUCUCGUUUAAUUUUUCUCUUAUUUAGUUCAAAUUUGUCUAAGCUUAUUAAAAGAUUUCGAGUCCAUACGUGAAAAAUAUUGCAUGUAAAUGUUUAAAUAUCGUUCUCCAGUAGUUUAAGCUUCUAAGAAACAUCAAAGUCGCUUAAGAUCUAUCAAACACGUGAUUAAAAUAAAGUGGAUAAAAGCAACAUAAAGUACUUGAGAAGUUACUAGAGAAGUUGAAUACGUAUUGCGUAUACAACUAAAGUACUAUUCUGGAUGAAUACAUGACGAAAAAUAUUGAAUAUAAAUAUUGAACGCGCUAUUCCACAUGUUUCAAAUUACUUAACGCUUACGAUGUAUCAUAUGCACGAGUUCAAAAAGUGGAUAAAAAGGCGGCUUAAGAUGCUUUAUAACCUCAAUCUUAGCCAAACCCAAAAGGAUUAAAAGGUAAUGGAAAAAGUAAUUACUAGAGAAGUUGAAUACGUAGUGUGUGGAUAAUUAAACAGGGUUAAAUAGAAAGAGAGAGAUUUAGUAGGAUAAUUAAUCUUAAGACAUUUGGGCCACAUCCUCAUUUCAAAAAGAGAUUGUUUAUUUGAUUCAAAAGCCAUGAUGAUACAUAAUUAAUCUCUCUUAUAGAAGAUUCCUGUUUCCAUGCAUGGAUGUUUCUCUUUAUCCAAAUCCUGCUUUUAGGUUUGUGAUUUGGAGGCUUGAGUAACUGCUUAGUGUAAUUCGGGACACAUCGACGACAUGCUACGUAGAAAAGCAUCUCCCAAAGAGAAAUUUAUUUGGUUUCUGUAUGUUUUUUAGUACAUGUGUUGUAAACGUGUAGUUUGGCACAGCUUUUAAAACAGCUCAUCUUUCACAGAAACGCAGUUGUCCGAGAAAACUGCCGAUGAUAUCAUGAACAUCUGCGGUGAGCGAAGCAUCAAAUCGGCACUUAGUCGAGCGCAAAAUCGUCCUUUCUGAAAGUUGCUUUUUCUUUUUUGUGGUGGUUUAUACUGUAUGAGUCAAUGCAGAGCAGAUACUUCGGAUAUAAUAACUUAUUGGGCCUUAGUUUAACUCUUUUUACACCAAUAUGACAAUAGAAUUGGAUCAAACUUGUUAGUUGUAGGAUAUAAGGCAUUUGAUGUGUUUAGAGAGGGAACACUAGAGUAAUUGUAGGCUUUUGGGCCAAGCCUUAAAUUUAAACCAGCCCAUGUUACACCUUGCAAGCAAAAUACAUAAAACAACAGUUAACUAUUGACAUUCUUAGCCCUGUUUGGUUGGGAAAUAAGGAGUUACCCAACACACAAAAAAAAAAAGGAGAAAAUUUUAAAAUUUAAAUUUAUAAAUUUAAUAUUUAAUUUUUUAAAAAUUUAAAAAUUAUAUAUUUAAAUUUAAAAUAUAAUAUUUAAAAAUUUAAAUUCAGAUAUAAUAUAAGAGGUAAUAUCAUUAUUUUCUAUUUAUAAUUACUUAUUAUUCUUUUUAUUCCAUCUUAUCUAUCCAAACGUUAUUUUUUUUACUUUCGAAAAUAACUUAAUUUUCAUCCAAACACAAUAUUGGUCUAAUUCUUGCUUAUAUUUAUUACUGAAAUAGACAGUUCUUGCUGAACCAAACGAAGUCUUAGGGUUUGUUAGUUUUCACCGAAACUGAAGUUCAGUUCGGAGUAGACUUUUGGAUGGAUUAAAGUUUACACAGUUAAAAACUAUUUCUCUCCUACUGUUUACGUUUAUAGUUAUAAAACUAAAAUUUUUUCAGUUCUGCUAUUUAUUUAAUAAAAUAUAAAUAACAUAAAAUUUGAAAUUAUGGGUCCUCAAUUUUUCUCCAGUGCCAAAAUAUUAAAAAUACACAUGAAAAAAAUGAAUCCAAAAAUAUUUUCCAACCAAGAAGUCAAACUGACAAGAUGGCAGAGCAGAUAAAAUAGUUCAUUGUCAGAUCCUGCCAAAUUUUCUUUAUCAAUGUUUUUUUCCUCUCUUUUGUGGAAAAUGGAGAUGUGGAAAAAGAAUGGAGACAAAGAGAGGCCAAGAGGGGGAACUUAACAUAUCCUGCACAAGCAAUCAUUGACUACUAAAUUAGAAAACUAUUGCAUGCGCUUCGCGCACCGCACAUCUUCUAUUCUGAUACCAUAUAAACUUAUUUAGGCGGCUUUCAAAAAAUUUAGAUUAAAGCUAAAUUAUAACUACGUUGAUUCGUCCUAAGCCGACUUGGUGCAUCUGGUACACGCAAUAAUUUGCAGCAUAAGUGAAAAAAAAUAGAAAAAACUUUUAAAAAAACUCUGUGGUUUCGCAUUUUAUCACUUUAGUACUCUGUGGUUUAAAGUGUAUCAAUUUGGUGUCAUAUGGUUUCAUUUUUAUCUUUUCGACAGCUUUUUUAUUAAUAUUUCGUUAAAUUAUAUACAAAAAAAAUUUCAGGUACCCACCUAUUUUAGUAUUCUUUAAUUUUAACUUUGUCGCUGAUUAAAAAAAAAAGAGUAAAAUUGAUAAUAAAAAGAGGAAAAUGAAACCACAGGGCACUAAAUUGAUACACUUUAAAUCAUAUGGUACUAAAGUGAGAAAGUGUGAAACGACAAGGAGGAUUUUUGUAGCUUUUUCAAAAAAAUAAUAAAAAGAGUUGUGUUAUUAUAAUAAGUGUACAUGUAGCAUUGCUUUACGGAAAAUGGAUAUUUCCAUAUGCUUUUCUAAUUUAAUGGGUACUUUUAAAUGGGACCAUCCAAUUGUAUGAUGGUGUUUUAUCCACUUAUUAUUACAAGGCACAUCACAAAGUUUAAAAAUGACAAUUACACGCAUUCCAUGAAAAUGAUGUGCUUUUCAAUGAAAAUGGUCACAUAUAAUAAUUUGAGUUUGAAAAUGAUAAUCUUAAAUAUGCUUUACUAUAAUAGUUUACAAGUUAAAAUUGAGAGAAAAAAAAAAUUAUGCUUUAUUUAUGUUCUAGUUGACCGUUUGGUUCCAAAUUGCAUGCGUAAAUGAUAAUAUCUAUUAUGCUAUUCAAAACUUUGAAUAUCUAAUAUAUUCUCGAUGGAUCAAAAUACUUUUGUUGAUUUCCAAAAAUUAUUCUUCAAAUAUACUUCUAAGUUUAGGAUGUAUUAAUGGAAUUUAAAAUUUAGAAAGGUAAUUUGGAAAUAAACCGUUUGGUUCGGGGUUAAGAAAAAAUUAGUUAUUUCAGGGAUAGAGUUAAGUUCAUGAUUAAGGUGGGGUUAGAGUAUUUUUGUGUUUGGUUGGGUGUUGGAGUUAGUCCAGAAUAGUGAAAAAUAGUUUUUGGUUGGAGAAGAUAGGAUAAGAAAGAUAGUGGGUUAUUAUGAAUAAAAAAUAGUGUUUGGUUAAGGUUUGGUGGGGUUAAAUAGGAUUAGCUAACCCGAGAUAGUCCAUUUGAGGUGGGAUUAGUUAACCCCAUCCAUUUUUGGAGAUGUUUGGAGAUAAUAUUGGGGUUAAGGGGUUAUUCCACCUCUUAAGCCCCAACCAAACAAAGGUUAAUUAAGAGAAUAAACUCAAAAAUUUUAAAUUAUAGUUACGGAUAUAUGAAACAAAAGCCCUAUGUGAAAAAUUAUAGCAGAACACUUUUGUCGCAAAGAAGAUUAAAACAGAUAGAAACUAAUAGCUAAUAUAAUUAUUAAUUUCAACAAAAAUUUAGAAAUAUUAUAAGUUAAGUGAGUGGCAAUUAAAACAAAAAAUGUGUAGAUAUCUAUAUUUUGCAAGGGGGAAAAAAAGUUUUCUAUAAUUCUUAGAAGUAUUUUUUUGCACCAAAUGUGUAGUUUUCAUUUUUGUGUCAUAAAAGAAUAGGAAUAAGCAAGUUAAUCCAACAUUAGUCCCUAGAAAAUAAUAAUAAUGUAAGCAUUGGAGUGAGAAUAAAAAGAAAAAGAAAAAGAAAAAAGAUGGAAGUUAUCAUGAAGUGGUUGAAUAAAAUGAAAGGUGAUAAAAAUAGAAUCCUAAGGAAUGUUAUGGGAUUCACACCUUGCUUAAUUAGGUAGAUCAUCAAGUUUUUUUUUUUUUUUUUUUUUUUUUUUUUUCUUACCCUUUUUUCAUGUACAUCUUAUAUAAAAAUAUAUUUAUGUUUAGAAUAUAGGUUGCAAUCUAGUUAUGCUUAUGUAUAUUUUGAAAAAAAAAAUAAUAUGAAAGGCACAAAAAAAAUUUAAGUGAAUUGUUGAAAUGCGAAAAAAUUUCUUUGCCGCAAUAUCAGAAUUAUCUUGAAAAGUCCAUACAUAUUACCUAUUUUUUGGAUUAUAAAAGAAAAAUACUAUCUGUAUACUCUAUUAUAAAAUAUAUAUUUUACACCUUUUCAUGGAAGGAUUAAAUUUUUUAAAAAAAUUUUAAUAUUAAAAAAUAGUAAAAUAAAUAAAUAAAUAAAUAUAGGCAGUACAUAAUUAAGGCGUAUAAUUCAUACAUAUAAUAUAAGUGUAUAAAUAAUUUAAUUUCUACCAAUAACUUUUUAGAAAUAAUAUCUAAUAUACCCUUCAAAAAAAAUUUAAUACUAUUCAAUACAUCUUUGGUUAACCAAAUUACCCUUAUUAAUUUUUCUUAACCCCGAACCAAACGGUAGCUCAAGGAUUUAGUAAUGAGAUUUAGAUUGAGAAGGACAUGUUUGGAUAAUAAUAAUCAGGAGUGAUAAGUAAAAGUAUUUUUUUUUAAUAUAUACUUGUUCUUAUUAUAUAUCAAUUAUUAAAUUUUUAAUUCUUAGAAAAUUUUUUUGGGUUAAUUUCAUACAGGUCGAUACAAAUACAAUAAAUGACAAACAUAUCCCUACAAACUUCAACUUUCAUAUAUUGUCCCUACAAAAAGUCCUGAUGUUUUUAAAUAUAUUCCUGCCGUUAGAAUCCGUUAGAAAAAUUUAGUUAAAAAUAAAUUAAAUACUUAAUCUUGAUUAAUUUUUGACAUUUGUAUCCUUCUUAUAUUAUACUGUUCUGACUUUUGGAGGGACAUAUUUGUGAUGAUAAAAUUGAAAAUACAAAUGAUUCUUUAAUGGUAACAAAUCAGAGGGAUAUAUUUGAAAAUAUAAAAACUUUUGCUGUAAGUACGUAACAAUAUAUAAAAAUUGAAUUUUAUAGGAAUAUAUUUAUCAUUCAUAAUGUUUGUAAAAAACUGUGUAAAAUUAUUAUUUUUAAUUAAAUACUUUACCCUUUUUCCUUUUUUAAUUAAUUCCCAAAAGAACGCGCUUUCUCACAUUGACACGAAUUUCAUUUGCUUUCCUUUUCCACUCAAGUCCUUUUCCUCUCCUCUCUCUCUCUCUCUCUCUUUCUCUCUCUACAUUGUGAGCUCCAUUUCCCCAUUCCCUUAAUCCCCCACACCUACUACGCUUUCCCACUACACUUCCCCAACACUUUCCCGACCGUUUCGAACCGGACCGGUCGAACCGGGCCCAUGGACCGGACCGGGCCCCGGUUCACAUCCCCCCUCCUCCCUCCCCUCCCGAACCUUAACCCUAACCCUAGCCCCUCCGCCGCCGCCGCGGCGGCCGCGGCGGCGGCCGCACCGAGGCACCGGCGCGCGCACUCCGACACAUUCCUCCGACUCCCCGAUGACCUGUUCCUCGACUCCGACCCCGACUUCGCGUUCUCCGACCUCGACUUCCCCUCCCUCUCCGACGACAGCGGCGGGGCCGCCCCCGCCGGAGGAGCUCCGGACAAUCCCGGGCCGGAGGCGGAGGCGGGGAGGGGCCACGCGCGGAGCCUCUCCGUCGACGCCGCGUUCUUCGAGGGAUUAGGGUUCCAUGGCGCGGGGACGAGCGGCGGAGGCGGAGGAGGAGGAGGAGGAGGAGGAGGGAGGCCGCAGCAUCGGAGAGGGGGAUCGGUGGAUGGGUUGUCCGAGGGGGAAUCGGCGCCUCCGCCGAUGUCGGAUUAUGCGAAGAAGGCGAUGGCGCCGGGUAAGCUUGCGGAGUUGGCGCUGAUCGAUCCGAAGAGGGCGAAGAGGUCUCUUCUCUCCUCCUCAUCACCUUAGGGUUUCUAUCUUGAAUUUGACUUGGCUUCCUUCAUCUUACAUGUAAAUGGAUUAGUUUCAUUUUUAGCUAAUUUUGGUGUGUUUUUUAGGUAUUAAUUCCAAUUUUUUGAUCUCCUGAAUCCUUGUUAUUAUGUUAAUGUAAGUAAUUUGGGCAUAUUUCUUAUUCCAGAGAGCUUUUUUUACUUAUCCAUCCAUGGUUUUGUGCUGCAGGAUUCUCGCGAACAGGCAAUCCGCGGCUCGAUCGAAGGAGAGGAAGAUUCGCUACACACGGAGGCGACCACUCUCUCUGCGCAAGUUACGCUUCUACAGGUAGAGAUUUUGAUAUUGUAGCAGAAACUUUUGCUCCCAAUUAGAUUGUUGUUGUGCUUUAUUUACAAUUUUGUGUCAGAUAAGCAUUUGUCUCAGAAAUCAUUACAAGAGCCCUUUAGUUAUAAUGUUAUAUAUAUAUAUAUAUAUAUAUAUAUAUAUAUAUAUAUAUAUAUUUGUAUUUAUCAUCAGUUGCUCAUCGUACUCGUCAACUGAUGUAGCAUCCUUGAUCUUCGAGCGUGUUGGGGGAAGUACUAGCAACUAUUAAGCUGCAUCCCAAGAGAUGCAGUGUUUACUUCAAUGUAGAAGUUUCGCCUCUCAAACAUGAAUUCGCUGUGUUUUUGUUGAUGUUGUUAUUCACAUGGUUGUUUGCAUUACCAUGUUAUGUUUGUUAGCUUGGCUAGAUACAAAUUAAUAAUAUAUUUCAUGCUUGGUUUAUGGUUUGUAAUAUGUCCUAGUAAAUCAGAAGCAUUGCUUAAGGGGCAAAUGCUUGGCCGUGGGAAACACCAUCCUUGUACGAUUAUCUAAGAGGAGCUCCUUAUAAAUUCAUGUGAAAUGGUGGCUAAUUAAGAGAAACCUUAUGAAGUAGUCAUAUGAAAGAUAUUUUUCAACCAAACCGCUUUCAUGGCUUGUUCCAUUUCUUUAGUCCAAAUCACGGCUCCUUCAAACUUCGGCAACAUAAUUGUUACUUGUGAUGUUGUACCAAAAAAAGUGUCUGUGCUUUUAACUUUUCUGUAUGUUUCGGCUCACAUGAAUUGAUAAGAUGGCAUAUUCUUGUAAAUCUUUAUAAUUAUGGGAGCAUAUCUAUGAUGGUGAGUGCAAAGUUAUGUAAUGUUGAAGGUUUCAUUACAAUGAAAGGAACCUUUAGAGAUGUCCAAUUAUUCUCUAUUACAAAGAAUCAGUAGAAGUUUGCUUUUGUAAUGUAAUAAAAAAUAAGCAAGUCGGGACCAAAUGAUUUGAGGCAACAAGAGAGUAGGGGAAGCUGGUAAUGCACUGUGGGAGGUAUUAUUAUGGGCUACAGUGAAAACCAUUGAAAAAUUAGGAAAUAGUUGUAACUGGUUCUUCUUCGUAAUUUUCAGUUGUUCUUCUAUAGAAUAAUUUGAGUACAUUAUGCAACAUACCUCUGAUUUUUUGUGCAUUAUGCAUUAAAUUUGGAGGAGAUGCUAAAAUAUACUUGCGUAUCGCUUGUUAUUGUUUGCAUUGUUGCUUCAUUAUAACUCGUCUUCUUUCUGUUCUCAUGCCAAUAUAUUCAGAUUCACAUUACAUUCACAUGAAAAUAAAAGAUGUCAUUGGUCACAGGUUCUUCUUAGAAAAAGCAGUUGCUCUAUUCAGCUUGCUCUCAAGCAUUUCAAGUAAUAGGUUUUUUAGGUUUUACUCUUUGAUACUGUGUCUUAUCUGAUUUUUUUUUUCCCCCAACUAUACUUUAGUAUUUAAAUAGUUCCUGAUAUAGUGAUAUGUGAUUUUCCUUGAAAAUUCAGAGAGACACAACAGGUUUAACUGCUGAGAACAGAGAACUCAAGCUACGGUUGCAGGCUAUGGAAGAGCAGGCUCAACUUCGUGAUGGUAUUUUCUAUCCACGCAACUAGAAAUUUCAUCUUUCUGAUUUCUAUGAUUCGUCAGCAUCAGUGCUUCCGUUUUACACUUGUAUCAUAUUUGACCAGCUAAAAUUUCUAUAGAAGUGUUAUUAAGUAGAGCGUUCAUCUAGAUCGUCAACUUCUAUAACCAUAGCGAAUGGAAAAGCUUUAAAUAGCAGCUUUUGUUUGUCAAACAACUAACUGUUGAUUCUGCCCAGUAGAGAACCUGUUUCAUAAGCCCCCACGCCGAAUUGAAUUUGUAUCGCCGUAUAACCUCCAUCAGCUUAUUAAGGAAGCUCUUUAUGAUCUUUGUACAGCUUUGAAUGAUGCUCUGAGAGAGGAAGUCCAACGGCUCAAGUGCGCGGCCGGACAACCACCCAACAUGAAUGGGAUCUCCUUCAAUGGAAGGCCCCAGCAACCCAUGCAAACCUACUUCUCUCAUCCACAACAUAUGCCGCAUUUAAGUCGGCCCCACCCACAACAUAUCCCUUCGACGCAAUCGGAGGCUUCUCCAAAUGGCCACUCAAUUCGGAACCUCUCUCUAAAUGAUUCAAUGGAUUUCAUGUGAGGUCCAUUUGGAGUUUGGUGCAAAACAAGUAGGGUUAUGGUUAUAGGUGAUUGUUGUUCUUUGUAUCAUUAAUUAUUACAAUAAACAGUUGCUAUAAUGUAAGGUGGUUGAACUGCUUUUGGGUGUUGUUUUUCUUUGUUGUAAUUAUUAUACGCAUAGAGAUUGAUGUAGCUACCUAAUCUUCUUGGGUGUGGUGAAUAUUAUCACAAUUCAAUUAUUCUUUUUGACCUGUUAUGUUGUGUUCUCAUGAUCAACAUUUGGAGUGGGUUGGUGUACAAAUUGGUCUACCUAAUGUAUUUAAUCUCUCUCUCUCUCUCUCUCUCUCUCUCUCUCUAAAAUAUUGCUUAAACAAUGUGUGAAAAAUCUUAGCUUUCAAAAGUAAUUGCCUUGGCAAUAAAUCAAAAUAUUGAAAUAUUAUUUGAUUUUAUUGCAAAUCCGUUCAUCAAAUUUAUGAUCGAUAAUAUGUAGUUAUCAAGGAAUGUACGAAAUGAAUUGAAUUCGGAUUUGGAGGUAGUAAUUCCUUUUUAAAGUUUUUCUUUUGUCUGAAUUGAGUAAUUGUAGUCAAAUAAGUUAGAGAUUUUUUUUUAUCAAAUUUAACAAGCUGAAUCACUUUUUUAGUAAAUAAAAUUAGACUAAUUAAUGAUCAAAUUCACUAAAAAAAAAAACCUUUGUAAUAACCCAAUUCCAAAAAGAAAAAAAUUAUAAGUUAGAACUUAGAAGUCGAAAGGAUUCUACUUAUUAUAAAAUAAUAAUAAAAAAAUGACCAUUUUCAGAACACCAAAUAGUAGAGGGGUUGUCCGUAGGAUUUUUACCUGCAUACCACAGUGAAAGGUGAAAACUUUCCAUUUUGGGUAAAAAAACGAGACAUACCAAAAAUAGACUUAUCAAUAAAAGGGCCGGGCUCGCACAAAGCCCACUUAAUCUAGCCCGGCCCAAUAAGUUAUUGGAUGGAAUCAGCCCAAUAACAAACAACCCAAGUUUAAGAGUUCGUGGGCUAAAUCUACGUAAUAGGCCCAACAAGUGAACAGAUCCGGCCCAAUAAGCCGUUAGAUUCGUCUCAAAUGUAAAUGAGCUCCUGGGCCCAAUCUACGUAACAACUUGGUUUGAACAAACCCGCUUAGAUCUAGCCCGGCCCAAUAAAACCCUUGUUUGGGCCACCUCGAUAUUUGCAUACAAUAUAUACGUUUGAACAAAACAGGGUUAAUUGCGCAAUCGAUCUCCAACCUUUAUACAAUUUUUUUUUUAAAAAAUUUGUCCCCAAUCUUAAUACAAAUAGUAGGUCUCUAAUAUUUAUUAUUUAUUUAAAUUAAAUUCCUGCGAUCAAUUUGUGGUAUUUUCAAACUAGUUUGCCAUGCAAGUCAAAAGCCACUCAGAAGCACAGGGCAAAAAUGAAACCGAAAUAAACAGUCACAAUUGAACAAGAAGUUCAAGUCUCAACAAUCAUAGAUAUAUCCGUGAAUCUAAAUGCAUAGUAUACGUAAAAUAUCAUCGAAAUUUUGCUUUCAACAGUAGCUUAUAUUGUAAUUCUCGCUACUCGAAAGAAAAACAAAAAGAAACAAUCAGAUAAAUCCGACGUAUUAACAGCAUUUGAGCUUCGAAGACGGGCAAAACUUGUUAAUGGAUGCCGCAUUUCCUUUUCGACUGUAAGCUACACAGAUUGAUUCUUUUGUACAAUUCAUUGAUAGCAUUACGCGACAUGAACUCUCACCCUAACACCACUACAUAGCAACUGUUCUCAACAAAUCUACAAUAGGACGCGACGGUCCAGCAGUACUUGAGGAACGCAAUUUCAUACUGAGGAUCUUCAUUUGUCAAAUUUUUUUCUCGACUAAGUUUACUUCGAGUCGUGGAGAGGCCACCUUCCAAAUAUCACUCCACAUCUUCAGCACUAUCAAUAAAUGUUUCCUUGAAUAAAAGAUAGUGAUCUUCUUCAAGCCUUUUGCAACCUUAACCAUAUUUGCAAUCACAAACCCAGUCUGAUAAAAUUUUCCUUUCAGCUCUACUACUAUAGCACUCAGGUGAUCGCCAAGAAGGUUCAGAUUUCCUUCAUGCCGUUUGUAAAACUGGGACGCCAUCAAGCCCAAUAGCUGAAAAUGCAAGUAAAGGCGAGUUGAAAGGAAAAUGAAACCAUAGCCGGAAUUGAGAUCAAUAUGUUUGAGAGAUGGAGAGAUCCUUUUAGUUCAUCAAUUUGUACCAUUUCAUAGUGCGGUCGAUAUGGCUUCCCACUAUAUUUGAGGGAUAGGGUUUCUAACUUAGGCGAAACCAUCAGGACGGAAGCAAAAACUGGGAAAUGGUACUCCAUCAAACCAUCAACUGUAAUGGCCAAGUGAUGGAGAUUAUUCAACGCAAUCUGCAGCUGAUCACCUAGCAAAAGCAUCUGCAGACUGGCAUUGUGAAGAUAAGUUCAAAUUAUAUAUGCUUAAACAUGCAUGAACGCACCGAAAAGUUUUGAUAAAAUAAUGGAUAAACAGACUGUUCUAUUCACAUAUCGCAACUUUGUACUUGAACUUUCCGCUUAAAAAACUGUCAGCCGUGAACUUUCUCAUGUAUUGCACUUUCAUCCCUGACUCUUGAAAGAAAGAAAUUAAAAAUCCAUUUAAUUUUGAUGUAAAAUGAUGUUAUAACCCUGUUCUGAUUAAACUAGAAUAAGGAAAUCAGUAUAUGAGAGAAGGAUUAAGAUGGUCAUUUUGUAUGCAGAAUCAGUUUUUUUUUUUUCCUUUUUUGGACGAGCAAGAUAGAAUUGCAAAUUAAAAGAUGGUUUAAGGACCAAAGUGUCUGAGUACAGGGAAAAGCUCCUAAUCUGGAUAGUUGACAGGUCAUUGGCACAGAUUAUAUAGUGAAACAGCAUCUUUACCUCAAAAGUGUCACUGUUAAUCUGUAGCACUCUAACAUGAUGUAUACUCUGAAGAAGCUUAGCCAAGCGGAUGCAAAUAGUUUUCUCUUCAUGAUAGGUCUUGUUUAUAUCAAGACAGAGAGAGGCUUUCUUCAGAAAUUUCCAUUCACUCAGAUAAAUGUCAUUUACCGCCCCCGUCCACUUCAAAUCUUGCAGAUUAGGGGCUUUAACUUUCAAGAUGCAAUUGAAUGGAUUACGCAACGAAUUCAAGUUUAAAGAUAACUUCUGCAGCCUCUCAGUUGUGAUGUCAAUAUUGUAGACAUCAGUGGGAAGAUUGAAGAUAUCUAAUUCUUCAAGAGACUCACUGGUAAUUCUCACAUUACGAAUCCCUUUGACAAGGUGUGAAAUUGUCAACCUCUUAAGUGACGGGCAUGCAGUAGAAAUCCACUCUUCAAGGCAAUCAGCACGCAGUGCCAUACUACAUAGAGAUAGAUCCUCAAGAGAAGCAAGGACUCCAAUUGGUUCCAGGAGAAUGUUAUAAGUCAAAUGUAACUUGAGCACACGCAAGAAUCUGGAACUGAAGAUACAGUUUGGCAUCUUGAACAAUUCCUCUUCAUGCCUAAACCCAACCGCAAGAUCAAGCUCCUGAACUCCACAGCUUACAGCAAUAUUUGUCCACUUAUCAACAAAAUAUUGUUUUGCAUCGCAGUUGCCAUUAAAACAAAUCCAUUGAAGGCGAAAGCUUACUAUCGCCAACCCAUUUCGCUGGCUCAGUAUUCUAUCCACAAAAUUAGUGAACUCCUCACAUAAGCAUGAUGGAUCAUCGGGCAAACAAUAGCAUUCGAACUUCAUAUAUGGGCUAGAGAGUAAGAAUUGUCUACACCUUUUUGAUAGUAGGGCAAAUUUUGCCUGGUCAUUCGCCCCGAGAAGGGACAAGAUUUUGUAAAUAAUGUCGUCUGCUAGAUUGGCGAAUAUAUCAUAUCCCUGAGCAUCAUUAACAUGCUGGUUUGUGACCAACUGAUCCAUGAUACACCAGCGCUCUGCAAUAGUGAAGACAUUACUUUCUAAAUAAGCAUUCAACGAAACAUCUAUCACAAAAGUUGAUAUAAAAUUAGCCACAAAGAAAACAAGAAAAUGAUGAGUUAGAAACUAUCAAAUAUCUCCUUCAUUAGCUGAAGGCAUGCACUCCCACACGCGUAAGAUUACAUCCGUACUUAACAACUAAAUCGUCUAAUUCAUUUGGCAAGCUGCCUAAAAUAGUGACCGGCACCUGAACUUGCCUCAUGGGAAGAAACCUAUAAGAGUUAACCAACCAGAUAUCCAGAUAUCCCAGGAUAUUAGCCUGUUGAUAAGAUUAUGAGAGAGAAUUCAAGAAUGGCAAAGAAGCUAUGGGAUUUUAACUCGUAGGACAUGAGAAGGCAUAGUUCGCUCAUUUUAUGAGAAAGGUUAAGAAUGUUGGGGAGCUUCUUGUUUCUUGUACAUAUAUGUUUCGUUCCCAUAAGACUAAUCUCGUUAUAUGGUCCAUUUAUUCUGUACAACCAUCACCCGGUAUUCCAAUAAGGAGAAAAAUCCUGUGUUCUCAGAUGAAUCAGCCUCCGGUACAACAGAAGAGUUUGAUCAAUAUCUUGCACAUUAUUACAAUAUUUAGUCAAGAUUCUGAGGAAAAAUAUGCGAGCGGUCUCAUGAAAUUCAACAUUAAAUGUUCAGAUCACAAUCCGCCAAGUUAGCGAAAACAUCGUAAGGAUUCAUGGGAUUACAAAGUCAUAAGAUCUGAAUUAGUAACAUAUGUAGUCCCGGAAGAUCGAGCCAUUCAAUGGAAAAAUGCAUCAAGGAAGAAAUUUUCUGCCACAUAUCAAUCUCUUCAUACACAUCUUAGGAUUCUACAUUUCCAGAUAAAAGGCCGAGUUUAUAUAAUUAUCCCCCCUCUUAGAAAUGUUCUAGCAACUCACGGAGAAAGUAUAAACAAUAAUAGAAUAUAGUAGAUAGAAACAUCAGAAAUCGAAUCAAGAAUCACAUCAAAUUUACAGCCAAGUAUCGCUUAUAUAACCACGAAUCUAGUGUUUAACGAGUAGUUGAUCACGUUUUCACAAUAUACAUCAAGAAUCACAUAUCUAGUUCCAUAUACAACUUUUAUGACCCAUAAUCAAGUGCUUAGUGAAUAAUUGUCACAAUUUCAGACAUUAAAUGAAAGAUCGCAAAGUUAAUUCCACAUAAAACUUACAUUUAACCGAAAAAUCAGGUGUUCAAUGAAUCCUGCGGUGUCUAAUUCUACUAUUUUGUCCCCAAAAUGGAAACUCCAACCAAUCUACUCUCACACAAAGAAUUCGACGAGGAAUAUGUAGAAAUCAAAAGGAUUUACCGAAAAGAAGAAAGGGGGAGGUAAAAUUGUUAGGGUUUGAGAGAAUCGUGAUGCUCACGGAGAUGGUGCGAUCGAGGGGGAGGUGAUCGGCGAUGGCUUCGGGAGAAAGCGACGGAGUGUGGGGGACGAGAACGAGAGCGUUUUAAUGGCGGAAACGAUGAAUUAAACGAGAUGAAAAUUUAUGGGAAACCCCUCGGCUUUGGGCUAUUUUGAAAUACACUCUUCUACUUUUUUUUAAAAAAAAUUAUACGCUAAAACUUUUAAUUGUUUUAAUGUAAAUAGUAAAUUUUAUUAAACUCAGUAUAGAUUAUGUUAAUUUUAAUUACUAUUUCUCACACUUGUGAUGUGAAUUUUAUCAAGGUUUAGCAGUUGCUAAUAAAGCAGUUAAUUUAACAAACGUUCGAUUUAAUUAAGAAAAUUAUCUCACAAGUGUGAGAAAUAGUAAUUAAAAUUAACAUAAUCUAUACUGAGUUUAAUAAAAUUUACUAACACUUGUGAUGUGAAUUUUAUCAAGGUUUAGCAGUUGCUAAUAAAGCAGUUAAUUUAACAAACGUUCGAUUUAAUUAAGAAAAUUAUCUCACACUAAAAUAUUUCACAAUAUUUUUUGUUUUUUAGGUGCCUAAUGAAAAUUAAAAUUGGAGGAAUGUGUACAUUAUAUUGUUUGAUCGACACUUUCUCAAUUUUUAGUUUCUCCACUUACAGUUUACAUUAUUAAACUGAACUUUUUUAAAAUUAAUAAUAAAUUUCAUUAAAUUUAAAAAAGUCAGUUACUUUUUCACAAAUGUAUAAUAAAACAUCAAGUUUAAUAAAGUUCUUAAUUUAAUUAUUAUCUAAAACAAUUCAAACAAAAAUAAAUUAAAGAUGUAAGGCGCGCUGAAACUCCAGUCUCCAGCCAGGAUAAUUAGUUUCAGUUUUAGAAAGAUAAAAUUUGAGUUAAAAUAUCCACGUACCAAAAAAAAAAAAAAAAAAAAAAAUCAUCAACAAAAAAUUUCAAAAAUCUUUCUUUUGGAUUUGGUGGAAUUUCUCGAGUUUAACCAACGAGUAAACUAGGUUUGCAGCUACACCAAAGUCGCAACGAAGCAAAAACAGUGCCAUGAAACCUACUAUUAUAUUAUAUUAUAUUAUUUAUCUUACAAGCAGUAAACAUGAUGCAUCUCAUCUCAAUGAGGUAAAAAAAAAAAAAGAAAAGGAAAACGAAAGAGUCACAAAUUUCCGUAUCAACAUCUAGUAAUGCGCGCAAACGUGCACACACAAAAGAAACAAAAAUUGAACAAGAAGCUCAAGUUUCAACAAUCAUAGAUAUAUCCGUGAAUCUAAAUGCAUAGUUUACGUAAAAUAUCAUUGAAAUUUUGCUUUCAAGAGUAGCUUAUAGUGUAAUUCUCGCUACUCGAAAGAAAAAAAAGAAACAAUCAGAUAAAUCCUACAUAUUAACAGCAUUUGAGCUUCGAAGACGGGCAAAACUUGUUAAUGGAUGCCGCAUUUCAUUUUGGACUGUAAGCUAUACAGAUUGAUUCUUUUGUACAAUUCAUUGAUAGCAUUAUGCGACAUGAACUCUCACCCUAACACCACUAGAUAGCAACUGUUCUCAACAAAUUUACAAUAGGACGCGACGGUCCAGCAUUACUUGAGGAACACAAUUUCAUACUGAGGAUCUUCAUUUGUCAAAUUUUUUCUCGACUAAGUUUACUUCGAGAUGUGGAGAGGCCGCCUUCCAAAUAUCUCUCCAGAUCUUCAGCACUAUCAAUAGAUGUUCCCUUGAAAAAAAGAUAGUGAUCUUCUUCAAGCCUUUUGCAACCUUAACCAUAUUUGCAAUCACAAACCCAGUCUGAUAAAAUUUUCCUUUCAGCUCUACUACUAUAGCACUCAGGUGAUCACCAAUAAGGUUCUGAUUUCCUUCGUGCCGUUUGUAAAACUGGGACGCGAUCAAGUCCAACAGCUGAAAAUGCAAGCAAAGGCGAGUUGAAAGGAAAAUGAAACCAUAGCCGGAAUUGAGAUCAAUAUGUUUGAGAGAUGGAGAGAUCCUUUUAGUUUAUCAAUUCGUACCAUUUCAUAGCGCGGUCGAUAUGGCUUCCCACUAUAUUUGAGGGAUAAGGUUUGUAACUUAGGCGAAACCAUCAGGACGGAAGCAAAAAUGGGGAAAUGGUACUCCAUCAAACCAUCAACUGUAAUGACCAAGUGAUGGAGAUUAUUCAUCGGAAUCCGCAGCCGAUCACCUAGGAAAAGCGUCUGCAGCAUGGCAUUGUGAAGAUAAGUUCAAAUUAUAUACUUAAAUAUGCAUGAACGCAACCAAAAAUUUUCAUAAAAUAAUGUAUAAUCGGAAUGUGUCCUAUUCACGUAUCACAACUUUGUACUUGAACUUUUCACAUAAGACACUUUAAGCCGUGAACUUUCUCAUAUAUUGCACUUUCAUUCCUGGCUCUUGAAAAAAAUAAGUUAAAAAUCCAUUUAAUUUGAUGUAAAAUGAUCUUAUAACCAUGUUUAGAUUAAAUGAGAACAAGGAAAUCAGUUCAUAAGAAAAGGAAUAAAAUGGUCAUAUAUGCAGAAUCAGUUUUUUUUUUCUUUUUCUUUUUCUUUUUCUUUUUUUUUUUUGGACGAGCAAGAUUAGAAUUGCAAAUUAAAAGACGGUUUAAGGACCAAAGUGUCUGAGUACAGGGAAAAGCUCCUAAUCUGGAUAGUUGACAGGCCAUUGGCACAUUAGUCCUAAAAUGAUUAUAUAGGUAAGCCUGCACGUGAAACAGCAUCCUGACCUCAAAAAUAUCACUGUUAAUCUGUAGCACUCUAACAUGAUGUAUGCUCUGAAGAAGCUCAGCCAAACGGAUGCAAAUAGUUCUCUCUUCACGAUUGGUCUUGUUUAUAUCAAGACAGAUAGAGGCUUUCUUUAGAAAUUUCAAUUCACUCAGAUAAAUGUCAUUUACCGCCCCCGUCCACUUCAAAUCUUGCAGAUUAGGUGCUUUAACUUUCAAGAUGCAAUCGAAUGGAUUAUACAACGGAUUCAAGUCUAAAGUUAACUUCCGCAGCCUCUCAGUUGAGAUGUCAAUAUUGUCGAUAUCAGGGGGAAGAUUGAAGAUAUCUAAUUCUUCAAGAGACUCGCUGCUAAUUCUCACAGUAGGAAUCCCAUCGGAAAGGUUUGAAAUUGUCAACCUCUUAAGUGAUGGGCACGCGAUAGAAAUCCACUCUUCAAGGCAAUCAUCAAACAAAAACAUUUUACUUAGAGAUAGAUCCUCAAGAGAAGCAAGGACUCCGAAUGGUUCAAGGAGAAUGUUAUAAGUCAAAUGUAACUUGAGCACACGCAAGAAUCUGGAACUGAAGAUACAGUUUGGCAUCUCGAACAAUUCCUCUUCAUGCCUUAACCCAACCGCAAGAUCAAGCUCCUGAACUCCACAGCCUACGGCAAUAUUUGUCCACUUAUCAACAAAAUAUCGUUUGGGAUCGCAGUUGCCGUUAAAACAAACCCAUUGAAGGCGAAAGCUUACUAUCGCCAACCCAUUUCGCUGGCUCAGUAUUCUAUCCACAUAAUCGAUGAACUCCUCACAUAGGCAUGAUGGAUCAUCGGGCACACAAUAGCAUUCGAACUUCAUAUAUGGGCUAGAGAUUAACAAUUGUCUACACCUUUUUGAUAGUAGGGCGAAUUUUGCCUGGUCAUUCGCCCCGAGAAGGGACAAGAUUUUGUAAAUAAUGUCGUCUGCUAGAUUGGUGAAUAUAUCAUAUCCCUGAGCAUCAUAAACAUGCUGGUUUGUGACCAACUGAUCCAUAAUACACCAGUGUUCUGCAAUAGUGAAGACAUAACUUUCGAAAUAAGCAUUCAACGAAACAUCUAUCACAAAAGUUGAUAUAAAAUUAGCCACAAAGAAAACAAGAAAAUGAUUUGUUAGGAACUAUCAAAUAUUUCCUUCAUUUGCUGAAGGCAUGCACUCCCGCACGCGUAAGAUUACAUCCGUACUUAACAACUAAAUUGUCUAAUUCAUUUGGCGAGCUGCCUAAAAAAGUGACUGGCACCUGAACUUGCCUCAUGGGAGGAAACCUAUAAGAGUUAACCAACCAGAUAUCCAGAUAUCCCAGGAUAUGAGCCUGUUGAUAAGAUUAUGAGAGUGAAUUCAAGAAUGGCAAAGAAGCUAUGGGAUUUUAACUCGUAGGACAUGAGAAGGCAUAGUUCGCUCGUUUUAUGAGAAAGGUUAAGAAUGUUGGGGAACUUCUUGUUUCUUGUACAUAUAUGUUUCGUUCCCAUAGACUAAUCUCGUUAUCUGGUCCAUUUACUCUGUACAACCAUCACCCGGUAUUCCAAUAAGGAGAAAAAUCCUGUGUUCUCAGAUGAAUCAGCCUCCGGCACAACAGAAGAGUUUGACCAAUAUCUUGCACAUUAUUACAAUAUUUAGUCAAGAUUCUGAGGAAAAAUAUGCGAGUGGUCUCAUGAAAUUCAACAUUAAAUGUUCAGAUCACAAUCCGCAGAGUUAGCUAAAACAUCGUAAAGAUUCAUGGGAUUACAGAGUCAUAAGAUCUUAAUUAGUAACAUAUGUAGUCCCGGAAGAUCGAGCCAUUCAGUGGAAAAAUGCACCAAGGAAGAAAUUUUCUGCCACAUAUCAAUCUCUUCAUACGCAUUUUAGGAUUCUACAUCAAGAUCACUCACAAAGGUAGCUAACUGUAAAGAUAAUUGAAUGACUAAAUUUAAUUACGACUAGAAUUUCAGAUAAAAGGCCGAGUUUAUAUAAUUAUCCCCCCUCUUAGAAAUGUUCUAGCAACUUACGGAGAAAUUAUAAACAAUAAUAGAAUAUAGUUGAUAGAAACAUCAGAAAUCGAAUCAAGAAUCACAUCAAAUUUACAGCCAAGUACCGCUUAUAUAACCACGAAUCUAGUGUUUAACGAGUAGUUGAUCACGUUUUCACAAUAUACAUCAAGAAUCAUAUAUCUAGUUCCAUAUACAACUUUUAUGACCCAUAAUCAAGUGCUUAGUGAAUAAUUGUCACAAUUUCAGACAUUAAAUGAAAGAUCGCAUAGUUAAUUCCACAUGUAACUUACAUUUAACCGAGAAUCAAGUGUUCAAUGCAUCCUGCGGUGUCUAAUUCUACUAUUUUGUCCCCAAAAUGGAAACUCCAACAAAUCUACUCUCACAUAGAGAAUUCGAUGAGGAAUAUGUAGAAAUCAAAGGAUUUACCAAACAGAAGAAAGGGGGAGGAGAAAUUGUUAGGGUUUGAGAGAAUCGUGAUGCUUACGGAGAUGGGGCGAUCGAGUGGGAGGUGAUCGGCGAUGGCUUCGGGAGAAAGCGACGGAGUGUGUGGGAGGAGAACCAGAGCGUUUUAAUGGCGGAAAGAUGAAUUUAAACGAGGUGAAAAUUUAUAGCGAACCCCUCGGCUUUGGGUUAUUUUGAAAUGGACUCUUCUAUUUUUUUUUAUUUAUGCGCUAAAACUUUUAAUUGUUUUAAUGUAAAUAGUAAAUUUUUAUUAAACUUAGUAUAGAUUAUGUUAAUUUUAAUUACUAUUUCUCACACUUGUGGUGUGAAUUUUAUCAAGGUUUAGCAGUUGCUAAUAAAGCAGUUAAUUUAACAAAUGUUUGAUAUUUUUUGUUUUUUAGGUGCCUAAUGAAAAUUAAAAUUGGAGGAGUGUGUACAUUAUAUUGUUUGAUCGACACUUUCUCAAUUUUUAGUUUCUCCACUUACAGUUUACAUUAUUAAACCGAACUUUUUUAAAAUUAAUAAUAAAUUUCAUUAAAUUUAAAAAAGUCAGUUACUUUUUCACAAAUGAAUGUACAAUAAAACAUCAAGUUUAAUAAAGUUCUUAAUUUACUUAUUAUCUAAAACAAUUCAAACAAAAAUAAAUUAAAGAUGUAGGGCGCGCUGAAACUCCAGGCAUGAUAAUCAGUUUCAGUUUUAGAACGAUAAAAUGUGGGUUAAAAUAUCGACGUACCAAAAAAAAAAAAAAAAAAAUCAUCAACAAAAAUUUCAAAAAUCUUUCUUUUGGAUUCGGUGGAAUUUCUCGAGUUUAACCAACGAGUAAACUAGGUUUGCAGCUACACCGAAGUCACAACGAAGCAAAAACAAUAUCAUAAACCUACUAUUAUAUUAUAUUAAACAUGAUGCAUCUCAAUGAGGUAAAAAAAAGAAAAAAAAGGAAAACAAAACAAUCACAAAUUUCCGUAUCAACAUCUAGUAAUGUGCGCACGCGUGCACACACAAAAGAAACACAAAUUAACAUGAAUCUCCUAACCUCGUAAUAUGAAUGGUAAAAGCAAUUCUGAGUUAAAAGUAAGAUCAUAACAAACUGAGUAAACCAUGGUCGCGAAAAACUAAGAGUUACAGUAAAACAAGCAAAAACAACAACAACAAGGACCACCACGACAACAUACUAAGCUCAGCUUAUCAAAAUCGAUAAAACAAGCAGAUCCCUCGACUAAUGAUAGGUCAGUUCUUGUGGAAUCCACAUAAGCAGUUCUCGUCUCCUAUAUCCGACGCAAUGCACUGAGGUCGCCCUUUCCCGUCCCCGUACCAAGUCGCCCUCUUCUCCACCAAUUCAUUCAAGAAACUAUCGAGCUUCUCAAUUGAAACACUCGGCAUCACCACGACGUGUGCGAUACUCCCCUGGCACGCGAGCUGCCACCUCCUUACAAACUCCUCGUCCCUCGGCCUCUCGAACACCACUGUGCUACUUAGCUCAUUGAGCAUCGCGCCGAUUCCGGCUUCUUUUAGUCGGUCUUUUAGGUAGUGGGCGUUUCGUAAGCACUUUUGGACUUCUUUCUGGAACCCCCUAUAGCCCUUUCGGUUUAGGGUGUACCAUAGGAAGAUGGGGGCGUGGCCGUUUCGGCUUCCCAUGAUGGUGGCGUCGCGAGAGGCGAGGUACUCGACGUUCCUUGAGAGCGCGUUAACGUGAUUCAACCUCAAUAUUUGGACUCCACAGGGCAUGGGGCAACCCACAAAUUUGUGGCCCGACACACUCACACUUCCAAUCGGCUUUUUGAAUGUCACUUUAGGAGCCUAAUUAAUGAUACCAAAUAUAGCAACCAAAUUAGUGAUUCGGUAGCUAAAAAAGCAGGCAAAAAUUCAGUAAACCUGAUGUCACGAUUCGCAUUCUAUCCCCGUCAAUAAUCGAACCUAUGGCUAUCUAUAGGUUUUGAUUAUCAAGGGGGUAAAACACAAAUCAAAUCAUGACCUAUCCAGGAGGUUAUCGGCAUUUUUAGCCUAAAAAGUAAUCAUAAGCUGGUAUUACACGGAGAAGAAAGUUAAAUAGAGAAACCUUUCGUGAUGCAAGAUUGAUAUGUUUAGGUAUGACUAAAAGAAAAAUGUUAACUUACUCGCUUAACAAAUGGCAUCAUCAGCCCGAAAAGAGCACCAUCGCAGUGAAUAUAGAAGCGAUCACGAAAGCCACUGUCUUCCAGAGUUUUGAUGACCAAGUCGAGAUCAUCGACAGCUCCCUUUACAGUUGUUCCUGCAAGAUACUAGAGCCUAUUACGACUCGCCUCUGGAACAGGUUUACUAAUCCAAACAAUUAUCAAAUGACGCACGGCAGACAAAAUGUAACACUUUUCCUGGGCAUGAAAAUGAAAUAAGCUUUUAAACCUCAAAACAAAAGCUUUCAUUUGAAGCUCUGCUAUUGCUUCACAGUGGAACUGCUGGGGAGGGCAUCAAUGAAAAAGCCGUUAAUGGUUUUUCGAAACAUUUUGCUUAACAACAUUUGUCCAAAAGCACAAGCCCGGAGAAACAAGCCCUAACGAAUAAGACCAGUAAAUAUCACAAAUGGGGUCACAAAGUGGAAAAUAUGGAGAACAGCUCACCAAUAUUAACAUUAAUAAUAGCCGGCUUGUCCUUGUUCUGUAGAAGCUUGGCCCCAAAAUCAGCGCAAUCAAUCUCACCAGAGACCAGAGUGCCAACCUUAAUACAUUCCAUUCUGUACAUUCUUGCCGCUUUGAAAACUGAAUAGUGAGACUCACGCGAGGCAUAUAGGAUUCCAUCAGGAAAAACCUCUCUCCUGCGAAACCAACCACCAAGGAGGAAGCUAUGUUGAGUCGUUAAGACUAUAUAACAUUGUCAAUUAGACCAUAUUGGUAAAGGUUUUAGUCUCAUUUCAAUAUAAAUUUAUUUCUAAGGAAGAGCACUGACCCAACAAGAAUACCAUGCAAAUUCCCUUCUGUGCCGCAAUUAGUGAUGUAACCCCAAUAUUCAUUUUUCUCCAGUUCCCAAAGGCGAGCAAACCAAUCUAAGACCCCAACUUCAAACUGCCUGGAAUGGACACCGUAGUUGCUCUCAAUGAAUGGAUCGCCAAGGUUGUUGAUGGAAAAAUGUUGAAGUUGGGCGAGAGCACCAUAAUCAAAGUCCAAAUUAUAAGGGUAUCCUACAAUAAAAAGAUUGUAAGUAAGAAGAACAGAAUUUCUGUCCGUUCAAAUGUCAUUUCACACAUCUCUCAAUGCAAGCUCUACAAGGCAGAAUCAGAAGCAUUCUCUGCCCAGCGGUACACUGGAUGAGGCAGCUAUGUUUGGAACUUUGCUAUUAGCGCUAAAAUCUUAAAGUCAUAUACUCAUAUAGAUGUUAGAUCAUAAUCACUACUUGAACAUUGGCAAGUUCUAUAUCAGGAAUUACAAUGAGCUGAAACCUUUGUUGGAAAAAUUGUCAUGAAUAUAUUAUGAAAUAUGAGAAUAUUAAUUGCAAAAUCAGGCAUCCUCAUUGGGUAUAAAAUGAUAAGUUUCCACAACUAACAUAGAAUUGCACACCAUACUCGAGAGGGACCCCAUUUUUUUUAGAAUUAUAGCUCUUCUGAGCAUUAAGAUAUCUAACUUUUAACUAUUCCUCAAAUCACCUUCUACUGCAAUAUCAAUUUAUUUUACAUUUAGCGAUCAAAACAUUCUGUAAAUCAUCUUCUACUACUACAAUUUAAUUAACGUUUCUCUACCAACUUAUUACAUGAAAUGUAUACAAUGCAUGACCGAUAGGUAAUGCCUCCUUAAAGUAUAAGGAGAAUCAUUCUCGCUGAUUCUUCGAUACCUUACAGUUACUGUCUAAUUCUAACAGUAGCACACAGCCUUGAACAAGAUAUUUAGGAUCCCUACUACAAUUUCCACUGGACACGGCCAAUAAAUGUGACAAAAAUUACAAUAACAGCACAAAUAACAGCAUUACGAACAACAUCAAUUAGGAGUCUGUUUGGCCUUGCUUCUGCUUCUGCAUUUAGCUGCAGAUACCAGAAACCAAGUGUUUGGCAACCACAAAUCCAGAGCUUCUGCUGGAAAGUCCAAAUGCAAUUCUAAGACUCAAAAACAAAUGCUCCAAUUUAGAGCUUACGAUUCUGCUUCAGAGAGAAGCUGAUUUAUUGUAAGAAUUCUAUGGAGAGCGAUUUGCCACUUCAAAGAACAGCAUUACACAGUAUAACAGAGCCAAAGCAAGUGUAAAAUGAGGAGAACCAUUAUACCUAAAUGAUGCUUCGUCCUUUCGAUGAGCGACUUCCUAUAUCGCGCGAGCACGCUCGCCAUAUAGGCCUCCCUCUCCCCGGUCUCUUCGUCGUCGGCAUCGGGCUCCUUGAUCGUGAAGCACAUGGUGUGCACGUUCCUCCCGAGCACGAUCUCACGCCUCUUCCCACUCCCUUCCUCUCCACCGACCCCAUUCGACUCCGUGGGCAAGGGUUCCACGAUCUCCUUGGGAUCGAACUCCUCCGGCAACGGCUCCACCUUCUCCCCCAGAUCCAUUAGCCCAUUCCCCACGCUCCCCACCAUGAUCGCAACCCGAAUUCUUCACGCGGAACUCGUCGAUCCUCUAGAUCGGAGCCCAGUGUACCGAAAUCGGAGCAAAUCAGCGCAAAUUCGACGGAAAAUCGCAAAAAAACCAGAGAAAAUUUGAACCAGAUGCGAGAUCCGGAUGUUUAAGGGAUUAAAAAUAGCAGGGAAACCAAAAAAAGCACGGAAAAAAAAAGGGGAAAAUCGGAGAAAAACCUCACCGUGAGCUACGGAAUCGGAGGGGGAAGAGGAGAUCAACGCACGAGUGGAUUCGCCCGAGAAAUGCGUUGAACGUCUCCUCCGGAUCGAGCGGAGAGAUGAGAGGGAGAGAAAUGAGGCGGCGCGAGGAGAGAGAGCGAGAGCGAGAGAGAGAGAGAGAGAGAGAGAGAGGAGUAAGGAGGGUUUUUAUAGUGUCCCUAUUUAUUUAUAUAAAAAGACGCGUCCAAAAUAUCGCGAGUUUAAGAAUAAGUAUAAUUAAAAAUGUAUGGAGACACCCUCAACUAUAGAUUCUUUUGAAAUUAGCCCCCCUCAACAUUAGUUUUUGCGUUAUCUAAUUUUAUUUUUUAAAAUUAAAUUAUUUUAGUUAAUUAAGUUAAGGAAAGGUAAAAUAUACGGAGAUCCCCUCAACUUCUAAUAUUUAGAAUCAAAAGAUUCUAGUCAAAAAAUUCAAAAGUCUUAUCAAACCUAUUUAUAAUAUUUAAUUUGAUAAAAUUUGUAACAUAAUUAAGUAGUAAAGGUUGAGGUGAUCGCAAUUAAAAAUAUAAAGUUGAAGAGCCUAUUUCAAAACAGUGUUAAUUUUGAUUACUUGAGUUUAACUUAUUAAAAUUUGUAGAAAUCAUAAAGUUUACAAUUAAUUACUUAAUUUAUUAAGAAAUAAGCCAGUUGAAGGGUGUUUUCGAAAUAAUGUAUAGUUGAGGGGCUUCCAUACAUUUUAGAACAAAAAAAUUGAAAAAAAUGGGACAACGGAAAUAUCCCGACAGUCGCAACGUGGUUUGCAUUGGGGGGACACGUGUAAAGUUAUCUAAUUUUUUUUUAAAAAAAUUAUGUAUAACUUUUCAAUAUUAUUUUAUUUCUUAAUUUUUAAUAUACUCUGAGAAGGUAAGGGUCAAUUCAAUAAAUCGGAUUAGAUUAUUUACAAUUUUUUUUUUUUUUGGUCAACAUUUAACUCUUUAGAUAUUUUACAAUAAUAAAUAAAUAAAUUUAGUUAUCUAACGUAAGCAAUGAAAAAUUUAAUGAUUGAUAUUCGAAAUUUUAAAUUUUAAAUUUAGUUAUUUCAUAUUUUUAUUUAAAUUUAUUCUUUAAAAAAUAAAGUAGUGUUUCGAGCUUCGUAUUUCUAGUUAACUCACUUCACAUUUUUGAGUUUUUUUUUAUUUUUACAACAAAUUUACAGUGUUUUUGAGCAUUACUUUUUUUAUACUCCCAAAAAGCAUCCAAACACCCAUUUGUAAAUAUAGAUACUAUUUUUUUGAUACUGCAAAAAAUUGUAUCAUUUAUAAAUUUUUUUUUUUUUGAGAGAAAGAUAGUACGCUACCUGCUUCAUUUAAUAGGAUAAAUGAACUAAGCAUACAAAGUGGAAGCAACUUGGGCUUCCAAGGCAAAAACCAAAUCGGAAAGUGGGAAAACAAAAGUGGAGCAAGAAAGAAAGGAAAGAAGAAGAGAUUAGAGGAAGGUAGCCAGUUGACGGGUUAAGGGAGCGAGGUCCACGAGCUAAACAGGAUUAAAGCUCUGUCCAAGGCUCUGAUGACGUUGGGAAGAUUCGAACGAAAAACAAAGUUGUUACGCUCGGUCCAGAGAACCCGCCAAGUUGCUGCUAGCUUGGUUAAACCUUUAGUUCUGGUAGAGGCAUCGGGCGUUUGAGAAAAUAGGUUCCAAAGUCGUAGGGCGUCUCCACCCGAAGCUUCGGUGGGUGCCUCAGCCAAUCGCCGGAGAAGAAAUCGGGCGAAGACACAAGUGCAGAAGAGGUGGUCGGAACUUUCCAAGAAAAAUGCAUAGAAGACGCAACCUGGUUCUACUUGGGUCCCUCGCCCGAUCAAUAUGUCCGCCGUGCCGCCGUGAGCAACCUCUUGCGAAGGAGCAGCCAGACGAAGAUUUUGAUUUUAACAGGGAUCUUAAGAUUCCAAAGUUGUAGAUUGAGCGGGUUACUUUGUCCAGCGUACGUGAUAAAUUUGUACAGGAAGUUAACAGUGAACUUUUGGUGAGAGGUCCACAUCCAUUUUAGCAAAUCUGGUCUGGUGCUUGGGGUGUAAUGGAGCAGCCGAUCCUUAAGAAACGCCAGUUGUCUUCUAUUUUCCGAAGAUGCAUAGGUUAUGUAUCAUUUAUAAAUAUAAAUACUACUUUUGUGCUUUGUUUACUUUUACAAUGAAUUUGCAGUGUUUUUGAGCAUUAUUUUUUUCAUACACCAAAAAAAAAAAUCCAAAUAUCCAUUUAUAAAUAUAUAUAAAUAAUUUUUUCAUAAUAAACACAAAUACUUUUAAUACUACAAAAUUACAGAAUUCUCAAACAAGUCUUACAUUUGCGAUUGAAUUAGAGCAAAAUCAUUAACAAAUCAAUCGAAAAUAUCAAUUGGUCAAUAUAUUAAUGAUUUAUUGACGGAUUAUAUUUUUAUUUUGAUUAAAAUUCACUAGGAUAUAUGUAAGAUGUUAAAUAUUAGAAAAGCAUUAGUAUAUAAAAAAUAAUAUCUCAAAGCGUAACCCAAGUAACAACUACUAUAGUAAAACUAUUAACUAUAUACAAAAAAUAAAAACCACAAUUCAAACGACGCUACGUGGUAUUACCUCGUCCUCACUUAAAAAAAAAAAAAAAAAAAAAAUCUCCAACGCAAAAUGCACCGCCAAUCGUAUUUUGCCACGUGUUCACCAUGCCGGGCGUUGUCGCCGACAUAAAACCGGGUUCGCGCCAUUAAAACCGAGCCCGCGAAAUUGGCGCGAGAUUUCAAAAAAAUCCAACGGUCGCUUCAUUUUCCCGCGACACGAUAAAUUGCGGAUUCCGUGGGCCCCACGGGCGGCGCCAAAAACAUCGGGAUUCCGCAUCUCGCGACCACUGGAAUCUCCACGUGGGCGUCUCGAUUACGUGAUCAGAUCCGGCGUAGCCAAUGAGAGUUGUCCACGUGCACCGGACCCCGCCACUCUUCAAACUCGGUAGGCGCUUUUGUGUGUGUCGUUGAUUGGAAUGGGCUUGGGCCUUAAAUUUGGGCCUGAGCCCAAUUAGGCCCACGUGCUUACGUCAGCAUAUCUCAUAUUGGCCAAUGGGAAUAGUCCACGUAGGAACAGUCAGAUUCUUUUAAAAUGCUCCUCAAACUGCAAAUGGGCUUGGCCUGUUAGGAUCCGUACCCAAACACGUCACUGAGGAACGCAAAAAAGUAACCGUAAACUACUCUUCGAGUCCGAUUUCGAGCUCGGUUUGGAGCCCGUGAAGAGCCCGAUUUCGAGCUCGGUUUCAGCAAUUUUGAGCGCGAUUUGGUUUCUCAGUCUUUGAAUGCAACUAGUUUUUCGUAAUAAUCGUUUGACUCUGAUGUGUUGGCUUAAAUGGGCCAGUAUUCUGCCAUGUGGCGGAAUGUUAUGUUGAAUCGAAUCAUGUUCGAAAUAACGUGAGGCUGGGUGGGCCGAGUUAUGUUCGAAAUGGUGUGAGAUUGGUUGGGCCGAGCCACAAUCGUCUGUAUGUUUUAAAUGAAUUAGUUGCGUAUUUCUAACAGCUCGUAAUUUUGAAAUUAAUGAUUAGCGUCAACGAUCCGACAUGAUGCGCAUGAGAUAAUAGGUGAUAAAGAUUUUGGAUGAGUUAUAAAGCUAAGAAUGA